rnacentral:lncRNA from 1 species
GUACUUGAAACUUGCAAUGUGCAUUGUCUUCAUUGGAUAAUUACUUGAUUCAGCAAGAUUCUUACUUGUUUGUGUAGUAGACGCAUGCAAGUGAUAUUGCGGAUUUUAUCGAAUUGAAUCUUGGCUCUUCACCUCCUGUUCUUAUUGGUCAUUCUUUUGGAGGACUCAUUGUUCAAUAUUACUUGGCAAAUAUUGUAAACAAGCAGACGUUAGGUAAGGUGUAUAUUCAUUCAAAUGAGUUUCGUUUUCUGGAUCAGGUGUAAGAAUGCCUAUACGAUAACCGAUGAGUUUGUUGUUUUCGAUUCCAGGAAUGGAAAAUGCGUUUCCAGAAGUUUCAGGGGCUGUACUUGUUUGCUCGGUUCCACCUUCGGGUAAUAGGUAAACUUCUCGCAACCUAUUGGCUCUUUCCUAUAUCAGUGAACUUCUUCGUUUAGCUUCUAUAUAACUUCCGGGACUCACUUUGUUGUUCAGCGGCUUAGUUUUACGUUAUCUCUUCUCUAAACCUGUGGCUGCUUUUAAGGUAAUAAUCUUUUUCUGUAUCUUGCAAGGAUGAUCUCAGUGUCAUGUUCAACAAUGUUUGUUCUUGGUUAUGUUCUUGAGUAGGUUACUCUCAGUUUAGCUCCUAAAGGUUUUCAGAAAUCUAUUCCUCUUUGUCGGGAAACAUUCUUCUCUCAAGCCAUGGAUGAUCAACUUGUGAAGCGGUAUACCUAUAAUCUAGCUCAAUAGUCACCUCUAAUCUAAAAUCAAGUUUCAGUAAUCUAAACAAAUUGUCUCUCUCUUUUCUUGAUUCAGUUACCAGGAUCUUAUGAGAGAGAGUUCACGGAUGCCGCUGUUUGAUCUGAGGAAGCUAAACGCAUCACUUCCAGUACCGAAACCAAUGGAAAAUUCUACAAAUGUUCUUGUUUUAGGCGCCAAAGAUGACUUCAUAGUGGUAAGAACUACGAACGCACCCUCCUUUGUCCUUUCUAACCAAACCAGAAAGUUUUUCAAUCUUGGUACUUGUAUUACACCGAAAUGGGUUAUGGUUUUGCAGGAUGAUGAGGGGCUGAAGGAAACCGGGCGGUUUUAUGAGGUUGAACCGGUUUGUAUUGAAGGUGUUGCUCAUGACAUGAUGCUAGAUUGUUCAUGGGAGAAAGGUGCUGAGGUUCUUUUGAGUUGGCUUUGUGGUUUGUCUAAACCGGGAAAUUUAUCUGCUUAAUGGAGUAUUUGUGUAGAUAGCUGCUUCUCUUUUUUUUUUUUUUCAGGUAAAAGAAAGAAAAGUGAAGUGUUGAUUUAGUUUGUGGAUAUUAAAAAUAAAAGUGUGGGACAAAAACAAAAUUGCAAUUUUCAUUUUCAGGCCAUAAUUUCAGCUUAGAUUUGGAUUUCUACAUUCGCGGAGGCGGUCUGGUUCCUGGUGAGAGCUCGUGGUUCGUCGAAGAUUUCUUCAACGUCCACAAAAUCAUCUCUACAAAAUUCAAAGAGAGACCCAAAUUCAAAAACUGUAAUUCAGAUCACAAGAAACUGAGAAAGAUGAUAUUGUUUUACCUAAAUCAGAGAUGAAUUCAAUUGGAGAUGCUAAACGGUUGUUGAAAUGGAAGAAAUUGUUUUUUGUUUAAACAACAAAGAUGAGAUCAAAAGAUUUCAAUAUAACUUUACCUCGUCACCUUCUUCGUCAUGGAGGAUUUUUUUGUUUUGCUGGAGAUCAGUUAAUCAGUGUGUUGUUCUUCUCUGAAGUUCUGAAGUCUCAUGACAUGGUGGCUUUGUGUUGUGGCUUUUUUCCAUCAUAUUAAUGAACUUAGAGUUGGAGUACUCCACAUUCUUUUAUCACCGCUUCGUUACCCUGGAUGCCGAACGAAAAUAAAAGCUCGUUGCACGUCACAUCAGCUUCAAACUCAAAGAUGAGCAAAUGCUCUCUUAAAAUGGGAGGCACGGGAAAGCAAUAUUCAGGUCUGUAUGAAACAUCGACGCCAAUUUUACCUUUCUCUGUUAUUCUAGGAAAUACAAUUGUUUCCCUAGCGGCGGCCUCCUCCUUGUCAUUGUCAACAUUUUUAUCCAACAAGACGCAAGCCUUAAAUCUCAAGGUCGUAGAAAGAGGCCUUUGAUUCAAAUUUACCAUUAUGGAACUCCCAUUAGCUCGGUAAGUGAUGUUUGCGGGCACUUCUCUAGCGGGUAAGAGCGCAAAGGUACUACUACUAGUCUGGAUGAAUUCUCUCGCUUCAUUAUUCAGCUUGAAGCAAUUAAUAAACCUGAGAAAUAUUUCUGGAUGAUUGUGAAAGGAGAAAUCAAGUCUCUCCAGUGACUGGCAAUUUAUGGCUGCUACUUUUGAUAAGGAAUCUGAAAGUUGUGGGAUUGUUACCAGCCUCUUGCAUCCCUCUAGUACAAGUGUCUGAAGACGAGAGAUUUUCUUAACCCACAGAGGAAUUUCUUGUAUUUCUACAUCGUUAAAGUAAAGCUUUGUGAUGAUAUCGAGAGCAUGUGGGAAUUCCUUGAGAUUGUCAUUGUAUGACAUUUCCAAGUUACGAAGAUGAGACCAUGACUUGAUCGUCGAAGGCACUUCUUUUAUUGCAGUUUUCAUGAGCAUGAGAUCCUUGAUGUUUGUGGAGAUCUCCGGAAAACUUUUGAUCAGUAAGCAAGCGGUGAGAUCAAGGUUAUUGAGAGAUUCCAAGUUGAUAUUAGUAGGAAGAGCCUCUAGCUGUAAGCAAUCAGUGAGAUCAAGGGCAUUGAGAGAUUCCAAGUUGAUAUUAGUAGGAAGAGCCUCUAGCUUUGAGCAUCCUUGUAAUCUCAACUCUUGCAAUUUUUGAAGGUUUCCAAGAGAGGAGGGGAGCUCCGCCAAACUUGAGCAUCCAAACAGAUCCAAUUUUUCAAGGUUAGUGGCAGUUGAGAGAUUAGGUAACUCUUUUAGGUGUUUAGACUCACGCAAAUCCAUCCUCUUGAGAUUUCCAAGGGGCUGCAGAAACAAAUAAAGACAACAUAAGAAGACGCAUUAAAAAUAAAUUCAAAUAAUAACUGAAAAAUUAAAUUCUUUGUUCAUACAACUUAUACAUAGUUCCUCCCUUUCCACCAAUGAUACUAACCAUGGAGGGAUACUACAAUUUAAGCAAGCAUAAUAAAGACUACAAGAGAUAGCCUUCUAAGAAGAUCACUCCUUUUUGACCCAAUAUUUUAAAAUUGGAGAGAAACACAACAAUUCUGUACCUGAUUUCCUUGCCACAUGUUCUGAAGUUUGCUGUUCCACAUAUCUAUAUGGACUAGAUACUUCGUACAAAAAUUGGAAGGUAAACAUUUCAUUGGAAAACAGCUCCAUUCUAUUAAUCUAAGUUUCCGAGGUAGAUUAUUCAAACCUUGCGGUAAGUACAAUUGUUUGCCUUCACCGUCAUAUGGGCCAUGGAAUCUUAAGAAUUUAAGGUUAGACAAUCCUUCAAAAGCUCUCUCACUGAUAUUUAAUUCGCCUGAUAGGUUAUAUAACUCGAAAAGUAUACCUAUAACAUUUCUACUACCCUGUAAAAAGAGCAGAAAAGAUAGAAAACAAGAGAUAAUUAGCUAUUGAAUGAAUUUAAUUUGUAGAUAAAACAAGGAAACAAGAGAAUAAUAAUAGAACUAACCGUGUUAUCAGUGAGUACUUCACAAAUAUCACUAGCAUCUAACAAAAAUUGACGCUUCCCAGGCUCACGAAUGCAUUGGUGCCCAGGCUUAUGACGGACAAUGUCUCUACCUAAUUGCACUAAUAGAUUGUGCAUCUUUAUACGUGUAUAGUUAGUAGAACGAAUCUCAAUAGCUAUGAGAGAUUUCUCAGCUAAGAGGUGAAGCCCUUGCCUAACAUCUAAGAAACUUAAAGCAAGAUAAUCUUCCACUUUCACCAUUUCUUCAUUGUUGAAAAGGCACGCUAUAUGAAGAAAUAAAUCUUUAUCUUCUUCACCUAAUGCAUCGUAACUAAACUUUAAAAUGCUUUGAAUACUAGCAUCAAGGCGAAUCUUUAACCACUCAUGCAUUUACAUUCCCCGGAAGUGGGAUCCCAUAACUCUUAGUCCCAAAGGUAGAUUACCUAAAAGUUUUGUAACUUGCCACGCAAGCUCCUCAAAACCAUCUUUAGGGAACUUUUGGCCAAAAGCAUACAUACAAAACAUCUGAUAAGCUUCAUAUGCUGAUGGAAACUCCACCUUGUAAAUAUGGUUGAUGCCAUGUGCCUUCAAAAGCCUUUGGUCUUGUGUUGUGAUGAUAAUCCGACUUCCAUGACCGAACCACCGAGUUUCUUUUGCAAUAGCAUCUAGUUGUAUUGAUUGAUCAAUGCUAUCAAGAACAAUAAGCACUCUCUUGUCGUUCAACCUAUCUUGUGCAACUCCUAAAUGAGGAAGCUCCAUAUCCUUGUGGUUGAUUAUUUGGGACAAAAACUGUUGCUGUAACUGAAUCUUUGCACUAUACUCAUCAGAACACAUUGGUCUUGUAUACAUCAGCUCUUUGAUAUUCUCCAUGAAGAUACUCAAUUCAAAACUUUCAGAAAAUUGGCUAUAUAAGACUCUGGCAAUGGUAGUCUUCCCAAUCCCAGACGGACCCCAAAUCCCAAUCAUCCUUACUUCAUCAGAGUCUAGGCAUAACAACGAUUCCAUUUCUUUCAUAUGAGCCCCCAUCCCAAUUAAAUCGUCAAAAUCUCUUGAUGGUGAGUAUCUAUUCAGCAUGUUUGAAACAUCAGUGGCGAUUUUUUCAGUCAUGGUUGCUUCAUUAUCCCUAACAAAUUAAGUGACCAAUUUAUACAAAAAAUUAUGUAUUGGUUGUCUUGAAAUUCUUUAAAAUCUACCAAUAAAUAUAGUUUGAUGUGUUAAUAAAAUAUUAGUCAGGGCAAGUAUAAAUUAAGAAAGCUAACCAGUUACGGGAAUGCUCCCCAGCGAUUGUUGCCACAGCCUCCAAAACGUUUUGCCAUCUCUUAAUGUCCUCUUUGGUUUUACCUUUACACGUUUUCUUGAAGACCUUCCCAAAAUCUCCUGUCUGCUUCUUUACGUCCGUUGGAUUAACGUCAUAGAAAAUGGUCAUCACUGUUUGACCCAACUCUUCUCUACACUUCAUGAUCUCCACCAACUCGUUUAAGCACCAAGACGAAGAAGCGUAGUUUCUCGAGAGCAAGACGAUCGCGAUCUUCGAUCUUUUUAUAGCUUCUAUGAGCUCAGGACCGAUAGACUUGCUCCUCUCGAUAUCAUUAUCAAUGAAUGGAACGAUUCCCUUUCCUUUGAACUCUUUUAGGAUGUGAGCAAGAAAGGUUUUACGAACAUCUGCCCCGUGGAAGCUUGGGAAGACCUCGUGUUUCCGAUUUUGAGACAAAGAAGAUGGAGUAGAUGAAAAAGAUAAAGUAGAAGAAGAAGAAGGAGAAGAAGCUAUUGUUUUGUUUUCUUGAUGGGAUUUGUGUUUUCCAUAAAACAUAAAAAAUAUUGUACCGAAAAGAGUGAAGAAGGUUAUUGCAGCAGCACAAAAACCAAAGUAAAAAGAAGAAUCCAUCAAGUAUGAUCAAGAGAAGAUCAAUAUCUCAAAGCUUUUCAGAAACCAAUCUGCAGAAGGAAAUGGAAAGAGCUAGUUUGUUUAUUGAAUCUUGAAAAUGCUUUUAUUGAGAUAGUCAUAAAAGAACUUUAAGUUAACGUCUUAACGAGUCCCUAUACUUUUAACUUAUUACGAAUCCUUUCCAUCAUAUUAUUAUCCACUUGGAAUUAUUACUAUAGUUUAUAAUAUAGAUAAAUUAACACAAUAAACCGAACUAAAAAAUUCAGUAAUGUGAAGUAUAAUGGGGGCAAAUUGAUACUAACGUAAAGAUGUUAAGAGAGAUUUUGAUAACACCAAAAAUUGUAGGGCUCUUCUUCUAAUGACGCAGGAUUUAUAAUAUUUUACCUUGACAAUUUCUUCGAAACCUCCUAAUGAUGCAGGGAGGGUUAUAUAUUUUUUAGUUAUUUACAUUUUCUUGGAAGAAGGACUUUGUCGCAGAAAAUUGAGCGAUGAUCAAUGUCCGACCAAAACUGCAGACGUUAGACAAUGAAAUACGAACCAAUAUUUAACCACAAGUCAAACAAAAAUAAAUAAAAAGUCACUUAAAAAACUACAGGUUGGAGAAAUGCUAAAUAUUUGAUUAGCUAUGUGUAAAACCUAUCUUCUUAUAUAAAGUAGGUGUAAACACGUUGGAACGUAUUUAUAAAUUCGUUGGAACGUAACCCCUGAUUUGUAUUGAUAUGCUCAAAUUAUCUUUAAGCAACUCUCUCAAAUAAGAGAUAUGUGUAGUAUUUAAAAAUCGAAUUCCACAAAAAAAAAAUAUUCACACAAAAAACUAAUAAUUUCGAAAUUAAGCUAAAUAGAAUAUGAAAAAAUUAAAAUAAAGCAAAACAGUUAUAUCAAUGUAAAUUCAAAUGAAUUAAAGCGUCAAGCUUAAGCAAUUUCUCAGGAAAUAUUAGAAUAUUAGAUCUAGCAAUUAGUUAGGAAUUAUUACAGAACUGUUCUAGAACUCUAAUCACGCAAUUAUAAUCAACCAACUCUCGUCUGUAUUGACUAUCUAUGUCUAGUAGCAGGAAUUCCAAUUCUUGUCUGUAAAUCCCUAAAAUUAAACAAGCAUUAACGAUCAUGUUCGAUAUGUUUACAAAAGUAUUUAAAUCAACUAUCGUUUGUAUUUAGUUACUUUGGCCCACCUAAAAUAAUUCCGGUAAUAAGCGCACUCUUGUGUCUAACCUAUUAUCCUAAGAUCAAGUUUUAGUUAGCUGUUAAGAUCUAUGGACUUCCAACUCAAAACCAAUUGGCAAUGAGUGGAGUGGCUCAUAUCCCUUAUAUAUUACUUAAGAUCCCUUCCAACUUCCGAUGUGGGACAUUAUGUCCUAAUACGCCCCCUCGAGAUGAUGGCUCUUUGGCCAUUAAUCUCGGAAUGUUCGGGCUUAGAUCGACGACAUCAAUUUUGGGCCUUGUCGAUGAUUGGACCAUCUUUGGGUCGGAUCGGGUUGGACAUGUGUGGAUCGGGCUCUGAUACCAUGUUAAGAUCUAUGGAGUGGCUCAUAUCCCUUAUAUAUUACUUAGGAUCUCUUCCAACUUCCGAUGUGGGGCAUUAUGUCCUACUAUUAGCUACUCUAGAACUAGCAUUAAGAACAAUAGAAGAUGAAAAACUCUAUAGAUUUUAUCCUAGCAUGUUAUCUUUCUACUAAUUCAUCUAACUCCCUAUUGAGAAUCCCUAAACCUAACAAAAGGACUACUCAAACAUGAUCAUGAAAGCAUAAAACAAGUUUAAAAUAGAUAUCAUGAAAGAAAACAAAAAGAGAAUAGAGAUUAAAAAUAUCUUCUCUCUACACGGGUUUUGAAAUCUCUGAGAAUAAAGCUAUCUCCAAUUAUCUUUCAAAAGAUUCAAGUUCUCAGAGAAUACAAAGUAAAAAGCAAGAUAAAACUAAAAAAUUGAUAUAAACAAUGACCCUAAAAUCUAUUUAUUUAUAUGUUCUCAAAAACGUUCAUGGACUAAUAUUGCAAAUAAGAAAGUCUUCUGGACAAUUCUACAAGGUUCAAAACUUGUUAAUUCUCGAGACUUCUGUUGGGCCACGAACGAUGUCGACCGACACCAAUAAUGUCGAUCGACACCAACAAUGUUGAUCGACACUGAUGACUUGGUCUGACUCCAAAUUCGUCUCUUCAGCCUUUAUUCCUUGACUUUGCUCCAAAAUAUUCCACAAUCUCCAAAUCCAUCUCGGUCACGUAAACACCUGAAAAAACACUAAAAAGACUCUAGAAAUAAGAAAAAGACUCUAAAAACAAUACAUAUAUCAUGGUUAAAAGCCGUAAAAUCUAUGAUAUAUCAUGUAUUAUUAAGAAUAUUACAAAUGAAGUAUAAGGCUUGUAUGCAAGUCAAGUCAAGUUUUACGGCUUGUAUGCAAGUCAAGUUUUCAUCAUCAUAAGCUUGUAUAUAUGACAAAUGAAGUAGAUUUAUAAAAUUAUCUGCCUCAUGAAGAAACAAGUGAUUUUUGUUGAUACACGAAUCACACAAGUACGGAAUGGAUCUCUAGGGAAGUAAGAAGAAUCUUUCUUUUAAACGACGAUCCGGGAGUUACAAAAUGACGACUACGAGAUACGGUCUUCGGAUCUAAGUUUGGACGAGGUCGAGAUGAACUAUGAGUUGGACGAGCUGAAUAACGGAGUCAACGGGCCGAGCCGCAAAGUUCUGAUGACGGUUGUACGAUUUUUCUGCAGACGGUUAUUUUAGGAUCCCCCUGAUCAUCAUUCCAUUUCAUUAUUUAUAGGGUACGGAGGUAGGGUACCCUGAGAGGUGAAAUCAGUAGAUUUGGGUCGACUGGGCUUGGUCGUUGUUCGGCCUAUUUCCAAAUUUUGGGCCAACAAAAAGAGUUGGGCUUGGGAAACUCUUUAGCUUUUCGGCCCGUCAGCUUGUUUGGGCUAAUGAGCGAAUUUGGGCUUUCAUCCAUCAACAAUUUUGAACAAAAAAAGAAGAAGAAACAAGUGAUAACAUCAUUGAAAAAUCAAUCGACAUAAUUAAUCCCAAAAUAAUUUCAAUUAUACAUGAAUUCUGUAUAUUAUAUACAUAUACCAAACUUUAGCCGAACAUUUGAAAAUAAACAAUCUCCUUAUUUAAUUACCUUAUACAUAAAUCUCACCCAUGACAAGAGUUUUCCUAUCCCAUUUUUUUUUUUCAAUAGCAAAGCCGGAAAAUGCUAAUGACAAUCCAAGAAUCUCAUUGAACUUUCUCUCUAGUUUUCUCUCUCUAAAAUUCUCUCCCAAGCACGGGAUUCCAAACUUCCAAAAGAAGAAAUGGUUUCAAAAACAGUAGAUCUCACCAAACCUUUUUAGCUUCUUUGGGAAAUUUCUUUUGGCCUACUGGGUUUUGGCUUGCUCCCAUAGACUUGGCGAUGGCUUUUUCUCUUUUCCCCAGUCUUUGGUCUCUUUCCCUUGUAGCCUCUGUCCCCAUUUCCCUUCCUUUUUCUAUCUGUUUUCUCUCUUCCACAGCGUUGCUCCAGCUUUCUCUGUGACUUUCAACCUCCUUUUCUCUCUGAAGACCUUCCUGCAAUAGCAGUGUUUCCUAAGCUUCUUUUCUAGCGUCAAGCUAAGCUCUGUUUCUUGUUUUCUCUGUAAGUUUCUCUCCAACCAUGUCCAAAAGAAUGAGACCAAGUUGGUAUAGGGAAUCACCUCCUAAACAAGCCCCUUUUGACUUUGAACCUGAGGAUGAAGAGGAUGUUUUUAUCCUUCCCCAGGUGGACAACUCUGUUAUGUUGGCUCGUUUGCAGCGGAGUCUGGUGGGACGAAUGUUCCACCAAGGUGGUCGGAGUAUAGACGCAUUGGUGUCUCUUCUCCCUAAAGAACAUAUCUGGGACGUCGAGGGACGUGUCCGGGGUGUUUCUUUGGGCGACUCUCGGUUCCAAUUCUUCUUUGAAUCAGAAGCCGACCUUCUGAAGAUCUUGAAUAAGCGGCCAUGUCAUUUUAACAAAUGGUCAUUUGCUUUAGAACGCUGGGAACCUAACUCUGGCCCUUCCUUUCCUGAUAACAUGACCUUUUGGGUCAGAACUGAAGGUCUCCCUGCUGAGUUCUGGGAAGAAGCAGCUUUAAGGAAUUUUGGUAGAUCUCUUGGUGUGGUUCACGGCGUUGACUCCACUAAUGGUAGGUUUCAGCUCUCUGUUAAGGCAGACGUCCCUCUCCGCUUUAACAAGCAUGCUCAGCUUCCCUCUGGAGUGGUGGUGCGAGUUAAGUUGUUCUACGAGAAGCUCAAUCGAUGGUGCACGUAUUGCCGCAGGAUUUGUCACGAGCUUGAUCUUUGUCCUUUGCUAGAUGCAAACCAGAGACAAGCUUUGCUUGAUGAGGAGGCCCUGAAAAAUCCCCGCUUUUUAAACAGAGGUGGCAAUUUGAACCAGUCCCAUCUCAUUCCUCAUGUUUCCUCUGCUGCAACUCGCAGUGAGCAUGGGAGGAAGAAUCUAUCCUUGUCUGCAGCUCCUUCCCUUGGAAGACAGAACACUUCUUCUUCUCAAGAUGAUAGAGCAGGAGGCUCUCGUCAUUUCCAGCAUCAGUCUCGGAAGUCUUCACAGAGAAAUUUUUCUUCUCGUGCUCCAGUCCAGCACCGUUUGGUGGACUCUGUUUCCCGUCGAUGACCUCCUCCCAUUUCAGAUUCACGGAGAAAUGGUGGUGAGGACAAACGUAAACGGCGCCAUGAGGACUCCUUUUCACAGGAGAAAAGAUUUGAAGCCUCUAACAAGGAUCGCAAGGGUCCAUCUCACGCUUUUACUUCAGUAUCCUUUCGUCACAGGGACUCCCUGAGUAGGGAACAGGCGCCAUCUCAGAUUUCUGAUUCCCAACUCACCUUGUCUGACAAUCUGUUGGCUCCUAGAGCUAAACAAGGAAAUUUUUCCCCAGAGUUUAAUAGAGAACAUCCGUUUCGUCUUCAUCUCUCUAGGAAGAGUGAUGGAAUUGAUAAGGGUAAAGGUAAGGUCUGGGACCUCCCUCCUGUGAACCCAGAAGUUUGUUCCGAAACAGAGACGGGAAGCUCAGCCAAGAAGUCGCUCAACUUUGAUGGUCCAGGCUUCUCAUCUCAGCUUCCUUUGUCUCCAAUUCCUUUUGCAAGUCUGACUCUGGAGCCUCAAACAGAGAAGCGCAAGAGUUGGUACGAACAAACAGUGGAGGAAGAAGAGGAAAAUGCUAGGAUUCUGGCUGAAGUACCAGACACAAUUUUGGCAGCUAAAUUUUCUCAGGCGGUUUCUUUUUCCAGUCCCGUUGGUACUCAGCCAUCACGGUCUAAGACUUUACUGUAAUCGGCUCCGGAGUUUGGAUGGGAAGGCUCUCAUCCUCCUCUGUCGGAAGCCCUAGACCUGGAUUGGACGGCGGAGGACGACGCCGCCUACCGCGCCAUGGAACCGGCAAUGGAUUCGGAUGCCCUUGUUUUGGACAAUGACGAUCUGUUGGGAGAAGAGUUUGAGGAGAGCCUUCGAGCUGGUCAAAGUUGGCAGAUUCCAGCUGAUUCCGGACAGCCGCAGAGGCUGAUUCCGACGAAGAAGUCCAAAUCUCGUGCUGCGGGAGUCGGAAACCAGUCCGACAGUGGGAAGAAGACGACGGAAGUGGCGGAAUCUUCACUUCCUGGGCCAGUGGAGAAAAAGGAUCUGAAGAAAAAGAAGAAUGAGGCCCAGCAGCGUAAGGCCCAUUCCUCUUCUGGGCUUUUAGUCAAUCAGGCCUCAAGAAAGAUUCAGAAUUUGAAAGGAAGAUCGCCAAGUAAGAGAUUGGCCAGCCGGUCCGGUUUGGCUAAACCGGGGAAUUUAAGACGUGCAGCUUCGGUUCCAAGACUUCGCGUUCUCCCGUCUUCGAAGAACAAGUCUACUCGUACACCCGUUGGUUCGGUGGGGUCCCCAACUCCCCCGCUACUAACCCAUGAGACUCUUAGCGUGGAACUGUCAAGGGGCGGGUGCUCAGCUUACCACCCGUCGACUGGAAGAGAUGUGUCGGUUGUACUCUCCAGGGUUCCUCUUUUUAUCAGAAACCAAAAAUGAUUUUAUGCAUCUCCAGAAUAUGCAAGUAUCUUUAGGUUUUGAUUCGCUUAAAACUGUUGAACCGAUUGGUAACAGUGGUGGUCUUGCCCUUUUUUAUUCGAAAGACUAUCCGGUUAAAUUUGUUUUUGUUAGUGAUCGGCUUAUUGAUAUUGAGACUAUUAUUGAUAGAAACCGAGUUUUUAUUUCCUUUGUUUAUGGAGAUCCGGUAGUUCAGUACCGAGAGUUAGUUUGGGAACGGUUGACUCGCAUUGGCAUUACCCGUUCUGAACCUUGGUUUAUGAUCGGUGACUUCAAUGAAAUAACUGGCAAUCAUGAGAAAAGGGGUGGGAAACGUAGAUCUGAAUCCUCUUUCCUUCCCUUUCGCUGCAUGAUCGAGAAUUGUGGUAUGAUCGAGAUCCCUUCACAGGGGAACUUGUUCUCCUGGGUAGGGCGUCGGAGUUGUGGACCUGCGGGCCGGAAAUGUCGUCGCCUCAUCAAAGCCCGCUUAGAUCGAGCUUUGGGCAACGAGGAAUGGCACACCAUUUUUUCCCACACUAAUGUGGAGUAUUUAAAAUUAUGGGGGUCUGACCACAGACCCCUUCUCGCUUCAAUACAGAAUAGCCCGCACCGUGUUGUCAAAAACUUUAUUUUUGACAAAAGAUGGAUUGGAAAACCGGGUUUUAAAGAAUCGGUUCUCCAAGGCUGGACCUUCCCUUCUCCAGAAGGUGCUCCUUUUUUGCAAAAAGUCUCGAAUUGCAGAAAAUCUAUCUCUAUUUGGAAGAAAUCGAGUUCGUCAAACUCGGAGAAGCUGAUUAUUGAAUUACAGAAUCAAAUUGAUCUGGCCCAGGAAGAUGAGUUGAUUUCAGCAGAAGAACUGCUAGCCUUAAAAUGGAAGCUUUGUGACGCGUACAGAGAAGAGGAGAUUUUCUGGCGGGCUAAAAGCAGGGAAACUUGGUUCAAAGCUGGUGAUAAAAAUACUAAAUAUUUCCACGCUAUUACUAAACAACGAAGAGCUAAAAACAAGAUAAUUGGUUUAUUGAAUCAAGAUGGGAUGUGGGUGGAUAAAGAAGCGGAAAUUGAAGUCUUAGGGUGAACUAUUUUAGAGACAUCUUUUCUACUUCUGAUCCUCAGGAGUUCCAUUCCGUCCUUAGGGACGUGCCUGUUAUGAUCUCGGAGGCAAUGAACCAGAAUCUUUUAAAGGAUAUCUCCCCUGAGGAAGUUCGACGCGCUCUUUUCUUACUUAACCCGGACAAAACUCCAGGGCCGGAUGGCAUGACUGCCCUUUUCUACCAGCGGUUUUGGGAUCUAACCGGGCCGGACCUAAUCAAAGUGGUACAAGACUUCCAUGCGUCAGGAUCCUUUGAUAGGCGACUGAAUGAAACAAACAUUUGUUUGAUUCCGAAGACAGAUAGACCGAGAAAUAUGUCGGAAUUUCGAAGCCUGUGUAAUGUUAGUUACAAAGUUAUAUCAAAGGUCCUAAGCUUUCGGCUUAAGAAACUUCUUCCGGAUUUAAUUUCCGAGACUCAAUCUGCCUUUGUUUCGGGUAGACUCAUUACUGAUACUAUUCUUAUAGCACAAGAAAACUUUCAUGCUCUUCGGACCAAUCCGGCGUGCAAGAAAAAGUUUAUGGCUAUAAAGACAGACAUGAGCAAAGCUUACGAUCGAGUAGAAUGGUCCUUUUUACAAGCCCUCAUGUUAAAAAUGGGCUUCGCUCAGAAAUGGGUAGAUCUGAUCUCGUUCUGUAUCUCAUCAGUCUCUUAUAAAGUUCUCUUGAAUGGAGCCCCGAGAGGGUCCAUUAAACCAACAAGGGGAAUUCGGCAAGGGGAUCCCAUUUCUCCCUUUUUGUUUAUCUUGUGUACCGAAGCUUUGGUGGCUAAUAUUAAAGAAGCAGAAUGGCAUGGACGAAUUCACGGUCUGCAAGUUUCCCGUGCUAGCCCUUCUACCUCUCAUCUCCUUUUUGCGAAUGAUAGCUUAUUCUUCUGUAGAGCAGAUCCACUCCAAGGUGCGGAAAUCAUCAAAAUUCUCCGCAUUUAUGGCAAGGCGUCGGGUCAACAGCUGAAUACAGCAAAGUCUUCGGUGAUGUUUGGACAUGAUGUUGACAACAUCACUCGAAACUCUAUCAAGGAGUCCCUUGGUAUACACAAGGACGGGGGAAUGGGGUCUUACUUGGGGCUGCCGGAACAGAUUCAUGGUUCCAAAACUCAAGUUUUUGCCUUUGUGAGGGACAAGCUCCAAAAAAGGCUUAAUACAUGGUCCGCUAAAUUCGUGUCCAAAGGAGGCAAAGAGGUUCUUAUAAAAUCGGUAGCACAGGCCCUUCCGACAUAUGUUAUGUCGUGUUUUCUUCUACCAAAAGCUAUUCGUUCCAAGUUGAGUAGUGCCAUUGCAAACUUUUGGUGGAAAACUAAUGAAAAUAGUAAUGGUAUCCACUGGAUCGCUUGGGAUAAGCUUUGCACGCCACACUCCGACGGCGGCCUGGGGUUUAGAACAUUGGAGGAGUUCAACCUGGCUUUACUCGCAAAACAACUCUGGCGCCUCCUCAGAUUCCCGAAUUCCCUUCUGAGUAGGGUCCUGAGGGGUAGAUACUUCCGUUUUAGUGAUCCUUUACAUAUUGGUAACUCCAACCAACCCUCCUAUGGAUGGAGGAGUAUUAUGGCGGCGAAACCACUUCUUCUCUCGGGACUGCGAAGAACUAUUGGCUCUGGAAUGUUAACCCGGGUUUGGGAAGACCCGUGGAUUCCCACAAUCCCUCCGCGACCCGCAAAGAGUAUUCUUGCCUCUAGAGAUCCACAUCUCUAUGUUAAUGACCUUAUUGACCAAACCACAAAAACUUGGAAUCUGGAUCGCAUUCAAGGCUUGAUUGAUCCUAACGAUAUCCCUCUUAUCUUAGGGAUCCGCCCAAGUCGUACAUAUUUGAGUGAUGAUUUUAGUUGGUCUCACACCAAAUCCGGAAACUACACGGUUAAAUCCGGUUAUUGGGCCGCGUGAGACUUGUCUCGUCCUACUUGUGACCUCCCUUUUCAGGGUCCGGGUGUUUCGACACUCCAGGCACAAGUAUGGAAACUUAAAACUACACGAAAGCUUAUGCAUUUCGUGUGGCAAUGUAUCUCGGGUUGCCUAGCCACUAGUCAGAAACUUGUCUACCGACAUAUUGGUACAGAUAAAAGAUGCCAACGCUGCGGAGGGGAAGAGGAAUCUAUUAUACACCUACUUUUUGAAUGUCCGCCUUCGAGACAAAUAUGGGCCUUAUCACCAAUUCCCUCAUCCGGGCACAUCUUCCCGAGAAAUUCCCUUUUCUAUAAGUUUGACUUUCUCUUUUGGAGAGGUCGCGAUUUUGGAAUAGAAGAGGAUGUGUUAGAACUCUUUCCAUGGAUACUUUGGUAUAUAUGGAAAAGCCGUAAUCGUUUCAUCUUUGAGAAUGUCAAAGAACCCCCUUUGGAGACUCUGGACUUAGCACUGAGAGAAGCCUCGGUUUGGAAGAAAGCACUUUCGAAAGAUGAAGUCGAUCCCGAUAUUCCCGUUCGGCCGGCGCUAAACCUUGCUUUAUCACCCCGAUUAUCGGAAUGCCAGCUAGACGCUUCCUGGCAUUUGGAGGAUAGCCUAAGUGGACAUGGUUGGGUCUUGAUUGACUCGGACAUCAUCUCACACAUUGGUCUCAAGAGUUCGCGAAGAAGUCUCUCGCCGCUCCAUGCAGAAUUGGACUCCUUGCUUUGGGCAAUGGAAUGUUUGACCUCGUUAGGCAUUACUGCUGGCGCCUUUGCUUCUGAUUGCUCGGAAUUGGUUUCUCUCCUCGACAACCAAGAAGAUUGGCCAUCCUUUGCUGCAGAACUGGCCUCUUUUCGGUCCCUCGCUUGUUUUUUCCCUUCCUUUAGUAUCAGAUUUAUUCCCGUAAUCUUAAUGCUCGAGCAGAUUGGCUAGCCAAAAAAGCUCAGGCUCGUUGUAGUCUAUUUUUCCAUGUAAGUUCGUCGGUUCCUGAAUGGCUUUCCCCAGCGGAAAGUGUCUUCCCGAUAUCUUAAUGAAAAUGGUGUUUGUGAAAAAAAAAAAAAAAAAAAAAAAAUCCAAGAAUCUCAUUUUCUAACGAUUUUUGCCAUUCUGAUUCUAUACCCAUCGAGCAGUGUCCAUAACAAUUAUCUUCGUUAUUGGAAUUCUCGAGUUCUUAAUUUAAUUUCCGGCGGCGUAACUCCUGGUCCACCGAAGAAUUCUUCAACGACGACAAAAUCAAGAAUAUAGAUAGUGACAAUGGUGAAAUAUUAUCAAGUUAUGCAUGUCUUUAUAUUAUCUCUUUACCUUACAUGCAAAUAAAAAUAAUGUUUUUAUCGAAAAGAAAUUUAUCACCAAAUUAUGGAAGUUACAAUUACAAAAGAAAGCAAAUUGGUUUAAAAAUUCUAUCAACAACCAGGAGUUGUCUCCUAGUGGUAAAGGGCCUCCAGCUGGGGGUACCGCCACCUGGGUUCGAUUCCCGGCAACUGCGGAAUUCACAUGGCGGCUGCAGGCUUCUAGGACUACGUCAGUUCCGCUUGGACACGAUGCUAGUCGGGCCACUUCGGUGGGACCGGACACCUGGGUUAUCAAAAAAAAAAAAAAAUUCUGUCAACUUGUUUUAGCAAAUGUACUUGCAUAGGCAGAUACUAAAACCAUCAAGGUUUGUACAAAACCCAUGUCCACCAUUGUAUUUUUUGUGUACAGUUCGUAUCACAACAUUGUUCAUUACAAAUUUCACAGCAAUCUUUAAUUUAUAGUCUGAAUAAAUCGGUUCCUCUAUUAAUAUUCCGAAUUGCUCGAGUUAGAGCAGAACUUCCACAGGAAGUACCAACCAAACAUAGCUUCUCUGACGUUUUUACGUGGAGUUCAGUGAAUUAGUGUUUGUUUAUUCUAGCUCUGAAGGUGAGAAGGUGGCUUUGCGACUCCGAACCAAGUCUUGAGUUGUUUUCUUCUGGAAGGUACUUAGAGUUGGAGUACACCAUAUUCUUUUAUCACGACUUCGUCACUGCCAAGGUGGAACUUAAAUAUAAGCUCAUUCGACGUCACCUCCGUCUCAAGUUCAAAGGUGAGCAGAUGCUCUCUUAAAAAGGGAGGCACAAUAAACCUAUAUGCAGGAGGCACGACGCCUGCUUUAUGUUUUUCCAUGAUGUCAUAAUAUACCACUAUUUCCCUACCAUCGUCCUCUUUCUCCUUGUCAUUUUUCUUAACCAACAAGAUGCAAGCCUUAAAUAUUAAGGUUGUAGAAAAGGGCCUUUGAUUCAAACUUACCAUUAGGAAACUUCCAGCAUCUCGUGGGUAAGUGAGGUUUGCAGGCACUUCUCUACUCGGUAAGAGCUUACGGGUACUACUAGUCUGGAUGAGUUCUCUCGCUUCUUUAUUCAGCUUCAAGCAGUUAAUAAACUUCAGAAAUUUCUUCGAAUGAUUGUGAAAGGAACCACCAAGAGUCUCCAGUGACUUGCCAUUUUCAAUCCAUACGUAUGAUACAGAAUUUGAAAGUUGCGGUAGUGCUACCAGCUUCUCCUAUACCUCUAGUAUAAGUGUCUUAAGAUGAGAGAUUUUAUUGAUCCACGAAGGAAUUUCUUGCGUUUCUGUAGCUCCAUAGUGCAGCUUUGUGAUGAUAUCAAGAGCAUGCGAGAAUUCCUGAAGGUUUUCAUUGUAAGACAUUUCCAAGUCAUGAAGACGAGACCAUGACUUGAUCGACAAAGGCACUUCUUUGAUUGCGGUUCUCAUGAGCUUGAGAUGCUUAAUGUUUGUAGAGAUCUCAGGAAAACUUUUCAACAUUAAGCAAUCAGAGAGAUUAAGUUUAGCAAGAGAUUCCAAGUUGAUGUUGGUAGGAAGAACUGCUAGCUUUGAGCAUCCUUGCAAUUGUAACUCUUGUAAUUUAUGAAGAUUUCCUAUAGCGGAGGGCAGCUCCACCAAGCUAGUGCACAUUCCAAGAUACAAUUUCUGGAGAUUAGUGGAAUUUCCAAUAGAGGAGGGGAGCUAAACUUGAGCAUUUAGUGAGAAUCAAUUCUUGAAGUUUAGUAGCAGUUGAAAGAUCAGGUAACUCAUUUAGGUUUUUUGAACCUCUCAAAUUUAUCCACUUGAGGUUUCUAAGCGACUGUACAAACAAACAAAGAUGAGAUAAAAAAAAUAAAGAAAUUUUCACGUUUAACAUGAAAAAAAGAUUUGAUCUCACCCUUUGGCAAAGUGAGAUUUGGUUCUCAUGUUUUGACAAUUAAGCCAAAAUCUGACGAAAAUACCCUUAAUGACUUAAACCAAAUGGCAUAGUUGGUUUCGGUUUAGUUACUUUUUCUUUGUUUUACGGUUUGGUUUUGAAUUAAAAAAAAAAAAAUUUUGCGCAGAAACGAAGAAGAAGAACGAGAGAGAGAGAGAGAGGCGAUGGAGGCGAUUUUAGGGUUUCUUUCCCAACAAUGAUGGUUUUCGAUCGGAGGCAUUUGGAUCGGUUUAUUUUUGGUCCUCCAUGGAGUUUCAAUGGUCGGAUCUGUGGGUAUCAAUUGGAUUCUAGGGUUCUUGGGUUGAUUGCGGUGGUGUUCGGUGACCCGUUUGAAAGGUUCUGGUCAUGGGAAGGGACCAAUAUUGUGGUCUCUCCCAAUCGCUCUAUUUUCCUCUCCGUUUUCCGCUGCCUUCGUUCCUCUGUUCAAUCUCAGUUACCGCCGCCUCCGCCUCUUUGAAACCCUAAUCCUAUAUCCACUAAGGAGAUCCUCUCUUAGUUCAAUUUCCUCUAAACCCAGAUCUUCGAAACCGUUACAAAGUUUCAAGCUUCGAAGCCUAACCUCUCUUCAUGGUUUUCUCUCAUGGGUUCUUCUCCCAAAUCUUCAAACCCAGGUGACGAUUUCACAAAAUUGAUUCUUUUUUGUUUCUGGGUAUUUGUAAAGAUGUUCACUUUUCUGAGGUUUGGGUAAUUGUGUACAGAGAAGAAGAGAAGAUGUAAGUGUACGAUGAAUUUUGCGUCUUUGUUUGCUGUUGGAGCACCUGAGGCUUUAGUUAUUGGUGUUGUCGCUUUGUUAGUCUUUGGUCCUAAAGGCCUUGAUGAGGUUAGUGUCUCAAUUUUUCCUGAUUUUGUGAUGAUUGAUUUGUAUGAGUUCUUUUCAAUGAAAUCUUGUUAUUUACAGAUUUUGAUUUAUAUGUUGCUAAGUUUUAUUGAUAGGAUGAGGAAUCUGAGAAUAUGGAAGUCUUUCAGGUAUUCAAAGAGUUAAAUUCUGCAGAGAAUUGAAGAGAAGGCAAAGGGUAUUCAAAGACUUGAAGAUCUGCAGAGAAUUGAAGAGAAGACAAAGGGAUUCGGAGAGAAAGAGUAGAAGAUAUUUUUUGUUUUUUUUUUUUUGUUUUUUUGUGAUAUUUUAGUUAUUAUUUCUCAUACAAAAUAUAUUUUCUAAAUUUUGUUUUAAAUUAUUACUUUUUCUAUUUAUAAAUUAAAAUUAGAUUUUUUUGAAUUCGUAAUUCAAAAUAAAAAUCAAAAUUUAAAAUUAUAAAUUAAAAUCAGAUCCAUAUAAAAUAUAUAAUUGCAUAUUAAAAAAAACGCUAUAUUUAAUGAAAAUAUGAUAGCAAUGAAAAAAACUGCUAUGUUAUGUCUUCGAUCUACUAUAACGGACGAUGAUAGAGCGUUUGUUAAAGCGCUAUAGUAUCGUUAGAUAGCGUUUUUUGGACGCUGCGAAAGAUCAAUAUUCAUGUAGUGAGAGAAAGGCGAUGGAGGCGAUUUUAGGGUUUCUUUCCCAACAAAAGUUUAUAGAGGUGAUUGGCUUAUGGAAUCAGGAAAAGAGAAGUAUUGUACCAAGGGAGGGGCAAUUCUCAUAAAAAUAUCGAAUUAUUUUAUGUACACAGACAUAUCAGAAACAUACAUAGUUAUAUGAUGGCAAACAUUAAACGUACGUACACCGACAAAAAAUAUGGUACACAUGGUCCAGACAUAAACGUACACUGUCUACACGGUGACAAAAAACAAGGACAUAAAACUAAAUAGGAUUUUUGCAAGUCUUCUUGUUAUGACCUGCUUGUCUACAUCUUGUACACUGAUUCAGAAAGAGUAUUUCUCUUCUUUUUUUCCAGUAGUGACAACAACAAUAAGUUAACAAACAACGCAUCUUAUACUCUAAACAUAGAUAUAGGCAAAUAUGUGCACAUGUUAGAAUGUUAAAACUUACCCAGUUUUCACCCCUGGAUGGUAUCACCAUCCUUUUGGUGGUUGGUCUCCCUGGUGGUCGUCUACUGUAUGGAGGAAUCAGUAUCAUAUCCGAUAUAUCUUGUGGGAUGACAUCAUCCUUCCGAUCCGCGAUAGGUAGAAUCGGUUCUUGGAAAGAAUCCAUUUAAUGUAACAUUGAAUUGUUAUAUUAAAAAACUAAUAUGUUGAUAUCCAUUUUGUUAUAUUUUUUAUGAUGUAGUUGAUGUAUGUAUGAAUGAAUGAAGCUAUUUUGAAGAUUAACGUACGCAAUUUUCAAACAGAUGAUAGUUUGUGAGGGUAAACGUACACGGUCAUAAGACAAGAUGAACAUAGUAAUAAGGAGAUAAACGUAAAGUAUUUUUCAAAAUUGGUGACGUAUCCAAAAUUAAAAACGUACAUCAUCAUACAAUCGAAAACGUACAUCAUUCUACAAACGAAAACGUACACGACUAGAAGAUGACACAUAAACAUACACUAUAUUAAUCUGAGAGUGUUAUGAAAUCUUAUAUGUAUAUUGGAUUUUUGUAAGUUUUCUUGUGAUGUUCUUCGCUUUUACAUCUUAUACAACUAUACGACAAAUAUAUUUUUCAAAAUAAAAUUGCAUCUACUACCCCGUGUUCACAUUAAAUUCAUAAUAUGGUGUACAUAUAUUAUGUACACGUACACUAGUCCAGUAAGACAUGAAAAUGCUCCUUAAUUACCCUCUAAUCCCUACCUCAAAACCUUUGACUUCAAGAAAAUGAAACAAAAGAAAGGAAAAUAUUUAUUUGGUUUUCUAAUUUAAUAAAAAUUGAACAAGAAAAUGAACAAAACGAUUUUUAUUUGGUUUUUUUUUUGUUUAUGAAUUUGAAAAUAGAAUUGAAAUUUGUAGAAAGGAAAGAGUAAACCUGGAUAGAUAGGAGCGUUUUAAGCUCUGAUACCAGAUGAUACACGAUCGGAGUCACUCCUUUCCUAUAUCAAGAGGUAGUUCAAGAAUUCAACGCGUAACGUCUUGCGGAAGUGUUGUAACGGUGGUGACGGAGUCGAAUAGUAACCAGAACUAAUCAAUUAACCAAAAAAAUGACUCAAACAAAUGCUCAAAGACUCUAACUUUGAAAGCAAACAAACUGAACUUUUAUUACUUGAAAAUUGCGUGCAUGAAAAGAACAAGGAAGAAGAGCUUAUAUAGGCUCGAGACAAAGAGACCUCCAAUGGUCAAGAAAUGAAAACAAGGAAACAAAUAUGCGAAAUAAAUGAUAUCUUGGAGAGGAUGUGAUCUUCUAGCCGUUGGGAAUAAGUAGUGGUGAUGCGUUGGUGCCGGUUAUGUAAAGAAGUGGGAGACGUCUUGGAGAAGGAGAAAUAACCUCGUGGCUUGAGUCUUCUGGUUGAAAAGGAGGCUUAGAUGUCUUGAGUGUAAGAAUGGUUCAUCAGCGAGUCCAUCAGCGAUUCCUUCAUUGAGUCCUUCAGGGAGUCCUUCAGCAAUUAGCUCAGCUAGUCCAUCAACAUGUUUUAUGUCCACAUCAUACGACCUCUCCAAACAGUUACAUCCUAAAAAUGUCUAAAUCACAUAAGUCUUAUACUAUGUACGUACACAAAAAUAUUUAUUGGAGCGUACAUGGUACAACAUUAAUUUAAUUUUUUGACAUCAAAAUUAAGUUAUUAUGUCAGUUAUUUGUAUGACUGUAUUUUUUUCAUAUGUUGUUCAUACAUGAUUUGAAUGUUUUGUUUUUAUAGUCAAAAAAUAUUUGAAACGUAAAUAUACAAAUUAUUUAGAUAUUUACGUACAUAUAUACACACACAUUACUACCGUGUACGUACACAUUACUACUGUGUACGUAUAUAUUAUUACCGUUACGCACAUAUGUGUAUAUGAUAUUGCUAAUCGUGAAUAGUCUUCGAUGAUAAUAAAUAAAAUAUUAUUUAAAAUAGAAAUAAAAAUAUGAAAAUGGGUCUGAUAGAAAAAAAAGAAUUUUAACUAAAAAUAUAAAAACAAUAAAUAUUUAUAAAAUGGAAAAGCGAAUCAUCUACUGACAAGUGUUUAAGAUUUUCAAACCACACACGGCUCUGUGUCACGUUAAAACAUACUAUUCCUAAAUGUUUUUCUUUAGUUGUGAGGUUUGUUUCUACUUCUUCUCGUAUUUGACAUAUGAUUAUGUAAAUUGCGUAACAGAGCUGGAGUUUUGUGAGUCUCAUUAGAGUCAAUUUGUGUGUUGAUUAUAGUUGAUUUCAAUUAUUUAUUGAAAACAAAUUAUUAAUAUUUUUUUAAUUGAGUUCGUAGAAAACUUGUAUGAAAUUGGUAAGAUAUUUUUGGUAGAAAUAUGUCCUUAUUUGAGUUUUUUCUAUUUACGUGUAUGUAGUUUACGGUAUACACAGUAUUGAUUAUAAAAUGGAUAUGUACUUCAGUUAUAUCAUGUACUAUUGUGGAGACGGUGUACGUAAUAUUUAUAGAGUUUGUAUUUUAGUUUUUCGACUUCAAAAUACGCUAAUAUAAACUAGAUUUACAAAAUCAAUAAAUAAAUUAAAUGUAAAAAACAAAAGAUUAUAAGAAAAUUGUGAACAGUACAUCGCAUAACUGAACCGCAUAACUGAACCGUGUACAGUGUACGUAACUAAACCGUACAGUUAACAGGACAUCGCAUAACUGAACCGCAUAACUGAACCGGAACAGUGUACGUAACUGAACCGCAUAACUGAACCGUAGAAUGAACAGUACAUCGGUACGCUGGCAGGGGUAAAAUGGUCAGAUUUUGGCUAAAUUGUCAAAACUUGAAAGCCAAUUCUCACUUUGCCAAAACAUAAAAUGAAAACUUGGUCUUAUGCCCUACCAUGCAAUUUACCCAAAAAAAUAUUGAAUGUUGAGAUCAAUAAACUUGAAGAGAUACAUAGCAUUUUCUUACCCGAUCUCCUUCCCACAGCUUCCGAACUUUGCUGUCUCGCAUUUGUAGUUCGACAAGGUUCAUCGUACAAAAAUUGAAAGGCAGACAUGUCAUCGGAUAAUAGUUCCAUUCUAGUAAUCUAAGUUUUCGAGAUAGAUAAUUCAGACUUUGCGAUAAACACGAUUUCUCACUUUGGUCACCAUAUGGACCAUUGAAUCUUAAGAAUUUAAGGUUGGUCAUUCCUUCAAAUGCUCUCUCACUUAUAAUCAUUUCACUCGACACCUUGGAUGGGUACAAAUUUAUGCCUAUAACACUACUACCAACCUGAAAAAGACCGGAAAAAGAUAGAGACCGAGGGAUGGUUAGCUAUUAAAUGUAUUUAAUUUGUACGAAGAAAGAAAGCAGAAGAACAUGAACAGAACUAACCGCAUUAUCUGAGAGUACUUCACAAAUAUCUCUAGCAUCAACCAAAAAUUGACGGUUCCAAGGCUCAAGAAUGGAUUGAUGCCCAGGCGGAUGAUGAACUAUUUCUGAGGAUGUGCGGUGUGUGAUUUGCAUGGAACCGCCUCACAAUGCUGUCCUUUUGAGAUGUUCUUCCUCCCUUAAUGGAUGUCAUCCUUACAUGUGCGACACAAGUGCUCGUCACUCCAUCUGUUUCAAGCAGUUCCUCAUAAAGUAACAAGACCUUAAACUGCCCUCUAUGCAGAGGAGAAGUCUUUGAGACAACAAAAGUGACAAGUACUACAAGUAGAUUCAUGAAUGCUAAACCGAGGUCUUGUCCUAUCGAUGAUUGCAAUUUCUCCGGGACUUAUUCCCAACUUGAUAAGCACUUGAAAUAUGAGCAUCGCGGUCUCAUCCCACCAAAGGUCGAUCCACAAAGGCAAUGGAGGUGGGAACAAAUGGAGAGACAUGUCGAAUAUGUUGACCUCAUGAGUGCAACUGAGAUUCCGCAAAACCCUGAGGUUGUACAUCAUCAACUUCCUUACACUCAUCAUCUUCCAGUGUUUCAGUUGAACAUUAUUAAUGGAACCGUGCGAAAUAUCAUUCGUCCGGUUCAUGUAAGGAACUGAUUUGGUGCCACCAACUACACUAUAAGUCACAUCCCUAGACUGCAUUUUUGACCGAUGAGUGCAGCUGGAUUCCUUGAAGGAAUCUAACAAGCUUACAUUGCUUACCAAAAACCAAAUAUAUAUUAUGAUUUUGUUCGAAGCUUAACGUCUCAGUAUAUAUAUUUUUAGUUAAUUUGGAUCUAGAAUAUUAAAGGGAAAUUUGGAUAUAAAGGAUAAAUAAUUUAAUUAUUAUCCAUCUAUGCAUUCUAUAUUCAUAAUUGAUCAUAUAUGCUUUAAUAUUGGUCAUAUAUGCUUUAAUAUAAUUAAAAUCCCAUUUUAUCCCUAGUUUUUUUAAAUCGUGCUAAACUAUAAAAAAUUUCCAAAAUUAAUUAGAUUUCUUUCUAAAAACUAUUUGGAGAAAAUAUAGGGCAAAAAAAUAUUUAUUUACUUACCAAAUUUUUUUGCCUAGAUAAUUCCAAAUCUUCUUCUUGUUUGAUUUUUUUUUUACGUUAACUUCUUCUUCAAUUCUUUGACGGCAACUUCUUCUUUGAUUUUCUCUUUUGGUAGUUUUUUGAAUUUUUUCAAUUCUUGGGAGCUUGUAUAUCCAGAUAAGAAGAACGAAACGAGAAGAAGAAGAAAUAAGAAACAAAAGAAGAGACGUCAAAGUGGAAAAUAGACUAGGGUAAUCUAUUCACUUAUGUAUAAAGCAUUCUAAACUAAUUAGAAUGCAUGUUCUAAAAUUUGUAGACGUAAUCUUAACCUUAAUAUUCAAUUUUAUCAGAUGUAAUAUUAACAACAUUCAAUUUCUUUAUUUAAAGAUUUAUUUUCCUUUUUUAAAAAGAAAUUCUAAAUUAUAUAGAAUUUGUUUUCUAUUUUUUGUAGAAUAUAUAGGAAAAUAUAAGAAUAUGUUUUCUAACAAUUUUAGAAAAUGGGUAAAUGUUAGAAAAGAUAUUCUAAUUUUUUUAGAAGAAAGAGCAAAGUAUAGAACAUGUAUUCUAAAUUUCGUAGAAAUUAGCUAUCUAAAUACCGUACGUAGAACAGAAAUGCUUUCUAAAUUCCGUAGAACAUGUAGAGUGCAUAAAAUACAUUAUCUAAAUUUUAUAGAACAUGUGCAAUGUGUAGAAUACACAUUCUAAAUUCAGAAUGUGUAUUCUAAACUUCGUAGAUCAUAUUUUAUUUAUCCAAAACGGCAACAAAAUGACAUAUUUUCGACAUUAUAAGUAUCCUCAUGACUUCUUUUUCAUUUGCCUACAAAUUGUUCUAAAUUUUAAUUGAAAAACUAGUUAAACCAACUACAAAGGGUAAAUUAGGAAUAUGUGAUAUUUAGUCAUAGAAUGCAUAAAUGGACAAUAGUUUAAUUAUUUAUUCUUUAUAUCCAAUUUUCCCUUUAAAAUUCAAUAUUUAGGUUACUAUAUAGCGAAUUUCUAAGCUCAUAUCUUACCUUCCAAAGUUUUGUUUAAUAAUAUCUUAAUGCAAAAUAUAUAUAAGUAUACCAUCUAUUCACUAAAAUACACUAAUAUUUUGGAUACAAGAAAGACAUGAAUUACUUUUCUAAUUUACCAAUCAAAAUACUAAUAUUGAAAUUAAGAAUUUAUUUUUAAAAUAAAAAUAAAUUCUUAAAAAAUCCUAUAAAAAAAAAACUGAAAACUCUCUUAAAUUAAAUAUUAAAAUUCAGAUUCAUACGAAAUUUUUUAUUUACUUUUAAUUAUUUUUUUAUAAAAUUAAAUAAUUUGGAGUAAGAUAUAUGAAUAACAUAUUAUCUUUUGGAGAAUUUAUUAAGAAAUUUUAGAGAAUUUUCAAAAUAAUUUUCAAGAAUAUUAACAGUGUUAAGGAGCUUCUAAUUCUACAAAUGUAUGAGAAUUCUACAAAAUAAUUUUCUUUGGUUUUGGAGCUUCUAAUUCUACAAAUGUUCUUGUUUUAGGUGCCAAAGAUGACUUCAUAGUGGUAAGAACUAAGAACGCACCCUCCUUUGUCUUUCUAACCAAACCAGAAAGUUUUUCAAUAUUGGUACUGUAUUAGACCGAAACUGGUUAUGGUUUUGCAGGAUGAUGGGGGGCUGAAGGAAACCGGGCGGUUUUUAUGAGGUUGAACCGGUUUGUAUUGAAGGUGUUGCUCAUGACAUGAUGCUAGAUUGUUCAUGGGAGAAAGGUUCUGAGGUUCUUUUAAGUUGGCUUUGUGGUUUGUCUAAACCGGGAAAUUUAUCUGCUUAACGGACUAUUUUUGUAGAUAGCUGCUUCUCUUUUUAUUUUUAUUUCAGGUAAAAGAAAGAAACGAGAAAUGUUGAUUUAGUUUGUAGAUAGUAAAGAUGAUCAGUGUGGGAUUGGGAAAAAAAUCAAAAUUGCAAGUUUGUAUGACAUUAAGAGAAUCUCAUUAUCUCAGAGAAAAUGAAUAAAAAUGCCAGAAAAUGCCUAUCACACCAAGACUCACAUUGUCUCAUGAUUUUUGCCAUAUCCAUUGAGUAGCGUCCGUUGCGGUAUUGAUUUUCAAGCCAUAUUUUCAGCUUCGAUUUGGAUUUCUCCAUUCCCGGAGGCGGUCCGGCGGACUCCUGGUGAGAGCUCAUGGUUCGUCGAAGAUUUCUUCAAGGUCGACAAAAUUAUCUCUACAAAAAUCAAAGAGAGGCCCAAAUUCAAAAACUGAGAAACUGAGAAAGAUGAGAUUGUUUUACCUAAAAUCCUAUCGGAGAUGUCAAACGGUUGUUGAAAUGGAAGAAAUUGGCGGCAACGAAGAUGAGAUAAAAAGUUGUCAAUAUAUUUUUACCUCGUCAUCAGCUUCUUCGUCAUGGAGGAUUUUUUUGUUUUGCUUGCUGGAGAUCAGUUAAUCAGUGUUUUGUUCUUCUCUGAAGUCUCAGGACAUGGUGGCUUUGUGUUGUGGGUCCCAACCAAGUCUUGAGUUGCUUUUUCCAUCACAUUAAUGAACUUAGAGUUGGAGUACUCCACAUUCUUUUAUCACCGCUUUGUUACCCUCGAUGUCGAACGAAAAUAUAAGCUCGUUGGACGUUACAUCAGCUUCAAACUCAAAGAUGAGCAAAUGCUUUCUUAAAAUGGGAGGCACGGGAAAGCAAUAUUCAGGUCUCCAUGAAACAUUACCGCCAAUUUUAUCUAUCUCCCUGAUAUAAAACUGUGUUCCUAUCAGCGGCCUCCUCCUCCCUGUCAACUUUUUUAUCCAGCAAGACGCAAGCCCUAAAUCUCAAGGUUGUAGGAAGAGCCCUUUGAUUCAAAUUUACCAUUAUGGAACUUCCAACAUUAGCUCGGUAAGUGAAGUUUGCGGGCACUUCUCUACCGGGUAAGAACGCAAAGGUACUAUUAGUCUGGAUGAAUUCUCUCGCUUCAUUAUUCAGCUUGAAGCAAUUAACAAACCUGAGACUUAUUACUGGAUGAUUGUGAAAGGAGAAAUCAAGUCUCUCCAGUGACUGGCAAUUUAUGGCUGUUACUUUUAAUAUGGAAUCUGAAAGUUGUGGGAGUGUUACCAGCCUCUUGCAUCCCUCUAGUACAAGUGUCUGAAGACGAGAGAUUUUCUUAAUCCACAGAGGAAUUUCUUGUAUUUCUGUAUCGUUAAAGUAAAGCUUUGUGAUGAUAUCGAGAGCAUGUGGGAAUUCCUUGAGAUUGUCAUUGUAUGACAUUUCCAAUUUACGAAGAAGAGACCAUGACUUGAUCGUCGAAGGCACCUUUUUUACUGCAGUUUUCAUGAGCUUGAGAACCGUAAUGUUUGUAGAGAUCUCCGGAAAUCUUUUGAUCAGUAAGCAAUCAGUGAGAUCAAGGUAAUAGAGAGAUUCCAAGUUGAUAUUAGUAGGAAGAGCCUCUAGCUUUGAGCAUCCUCGUAAAUUCAAUAUUCGCAAUUUCUGAAGGUUUCCAAGAGAGGAGGGGAGCUCCGCCAAACUUGAGCAUCCAAACAGAGUCAAUUUCUCAAGGUUAGUGGCAGUUGAGAGAUUAGGUAACUCUUUUAGGUGUUUAGACUCACCCAAAACCAUCCUCUUGAGAUUUCCAAGGGGCUGCAGAAACAAAUAAAGACAACAUAAGAAGACGCAUUAAAAAUAAAUUCAAAUAAUAACUGAAAAAUUAAAUUCUUUGUUCAUACAACUUAUACAUAUAGUUCCUCCCUUUCCACCAAUGAUACUAACCAUGGAGGGAUACUACAAUUUAAGCAAGCAUAAUAAAGACUACAAGAGAUAGCCUUCUAAGAAGAUCACUCCUUUUUGACCCAAUAUUUUAAAAUUGGAGAGAAACACAACAAUUUUGUACCUGAUUUCCUUGCCACAUGUUCUGAAGUUUGCUGUUCCUCAUAUGUAGCUGGACUAGGUACUUCGUACAAAAAUUGGAAGGCAAACAUUUCAUUGGAAAACGAAACCAUUCUAGUAUUCUAAGUUUCCGAGGUAGAUUAUUCAAACCUUGCGGUAAGUACAAUUUAUCGCUUUCGCCAUGGAAUCUUAAGAACUUGAGGUUAGACAUUCCUUCAAAAGCUCUCUCACUGAUAUUUAAUUCGCCUGAUAGGGUAUAUACCUCGAAAAGUAUACCUAUAACAUUUCUACUACCCUGUAAAAAGACCAAAGAAGAUAGAAAACGAGAGAUAAUUAGCUAUUGAAUGAAUUUAAUUUGUAGAGAACAAGGAAACAAGAGAAUAAUAAUAGAACUAACCGUGUUAUCAGUGAGUACUUCACAAAUAUCUCUAGCAUCAACCAAAAAUUGACGCUUCCCAGGCUCACGAAUGGAUUGGUGCCCAGGCUUAUGACGGACAAUGUCUCUACCUAAUUGCACUAAUAGAUUGUGCAUCUUUAUACGUGUAUGGUUAGUAGAAAAAAUCUCAAUAGCUAUGAGAGAUUUCUCAGCUAAGAGGUGAAGCCCUUGCCUCACAUCUAAGAAACUUGAAGCAAGAUAAUCUUCCACUCUCACCAUUUCUUCAUCGUUGAAAAGGCAGGCUAUAUGAAGGAAUAAAUCUUUAUCUUCUUCACAUAAGGCAUCGUAACUGAACUUUAAAAUGCUUUGAAUACUAGCAUCAAGGCGAAUCUUUAACCUUGGUAAUGCAUUUACCCACUCAUGCCUAGACAUUCCCCGGAAGUGGGAUCCCAUAACUCUUAGUCCCAAAGGUAGAUUACCUAAAAGUUUUGUAACUUGCCACGCAAGCUCCUCAAAACCAUCUUUAGGGAAGUUUUGGCCAAAAGCAUACAUACAAAAGAUCUGAUAAGCUUCAUAUGCUGAUGGAAACUCCACCUUGUAAAUAUGGUUGAUGCCAUGUGCCUUCAAAAGCCGUUGGUCUUGUGUUGUGAUGAUAAUCCGACUUCCAUGACCGAACCACCGAGUUUCUUUUGCGAUAGCAUCUAGUUGUAUUGAUUGAUCAAUGCUAUCAAGAACAAUAAGCACUCUCUUGUCGUUCAACCUAUCUUGUGCAACUCCUAAAUGAGGAAGCUCCAUAUCCUUGUGGUUGAUUAUUUGGGACAAAAAUUGUUUCUGUAACUGAAUCUUUGCGCUAUACUCAUCAGAACACACAGGUCUUGUAUACAUCAACUCUUUGAUAUUCUCCAUGAAGAUACUCAAUUCAAAAUUUUCAGAAAAUUGGCUAUACAAGACUCUGGCAAUUGUAGUCUUCCCUAUCCCAGACGGACCCCAAAUCCCAAUCAUCCUUACUUCAUCAGAGUCUAGGCAUAACAACGAUUCCAUUUCUUUCAUAUGAGCUCCCAUUCCAAUUAAACCGUCAAAAUCUCUUGACGGUGAGUAUCUAUUCAGCAUGUCUGAAACAUCAGUGGCGAUUUUUUCAGUCAUGGCUGCUUCAUUAUCCCUAACAAAUGAAGUGACCAAUUUAUACAUCGAUUAAUAUUUACAAAAAAUUUCACAUACACAUCCAAAAAUUAUGUAUUGAUUGUCUUGAUAUUCUUUAAAAACUACCAAUAAAUAUAGUUUGAUGUGUUAAUAAAAUAUUAGCCAGGGCAAGUAUAAAUCAAGAAAGCUAACCAGUUACGGGAAUGCUCCCCAGCGAUUGUUGCCACAGACUCCAAAACGUUUUGCCAUCUCUUAAUGUCCUCUUUGGUUUUACCUUUACACGUUUUCUUGAAGACCUUCCCAAAAUCUCCUGUCUGCUUCUUUACGUCUGUUGGAUCAACAUCAUAGAAAAUGGUCAUCACUGUUUGACCCAGUUCUUCUCUACACUUCAUGAUCUCCACCAACUCGUUUAGGCACCAAGACGAAGAAGCGUAGUUCCUCGAGAGCAAGACGAUCGCGAUCUUUGAUCCUCUGAUAGCUUCUAUGAGCUCAGGACCGAUAGACUUGCUCCUCUCGAUAUCAUUAUCAAUGAAUGGACUGAUUCCCUUUCCUUUGAACUCUUUUAGGAUGUGAGCAAGAAAUGUUUUUCGAACAUCUGCCCCGUGGAAGCUUGGGAAGACAUCGUGUUUCCGUUUUCGAGACAAAGAAGAUGAAGUAGAUGAAAUAGAUAAAGAAGAAGAAGAAGAAGCUAUUGUUUUGUUUUCUUGAUGGGAUUUGACUUUUUUAUAAAACAUGAAAAAUAUUGUACCCAAAAUCGUGAAGAAAGUUAUGGCAGCAACACAAAAACUAGAGAGAAAAGCAGAAUCCAUCUGAGUAUGAUGAAGAGAAGAUCAAUAUCUCAAAGCUUGUCAGAAAACAAUUUUUUCUUAGCCUAAUCUUUUUUUUUUUUGGAUAAGGUUCAUUUUACACCAUACAUCACAUAUUUAUACUCUUAGACUAGAUAUUAACCCGCGGUACACCGCGGGUCUAUAUUUUCCUUAAAUAAAAAAAUGAGUUUUUUAGGAUGACCUAUAGAUAUAUGGUAAACCGCAUGUCAAUAUUUUAUAAUUAAAAAAUCAAAAUUUAAGUUGUAUUUGUUUUGUUUAGUGUUUAAGAUUGUAUAAUUGUAUUUUGAUCGCUAAUUCUAGGAUUUCAACCGUAAUAUACCAUCCCAUAUUAAUAUCGACCUAAAUCCGUCCCACUAUAUAACUUCGUCCCUUGAAAUUAAACAUCAUUUUUGUAAUUUUUUUUAUAAAUUUCAAAUAUUUCAAAUAUUUGAAACUUCAUAAAAGUUUUAAUACGACCCAAACUUCAUAAUUGUAUUUUGAUUGUUAUAUCAAGGUUUCACCUGUAGUAUACCGUCUCGUAUUAAUAUCUUUUAUAAAUAUUUAUAAUGUUUAAACUUCUUAUAAAUUCUUAUAAAAUUCAAAUAUUUAUAAUAUUUGAAAAAUCAUAAAAGUUAUAAUAUUAUAAAUAAUUAAAACGUUUAAUAAAGUUAGACUUUUUUAAAAGUUUAAAUAAUUAUAAUAUUUAAUUUUUUAAUAAAUUUUAAAUAUUUGGAUCGACAUUUAUACUAUAUACUAUAUAAAUUAGAGUUUAUGAGUUUAAUAAGUAUACUUUAAUAAGAAUUAUUACAGUAAUAAAAUUUACAAUCAAUUAUAUAUGUCUUACAAUUUGGAUGUAUGAAAUUGUUGAUCUCAUUUGUAAGCAUGAGUGGAAUUAAAAACAUUUGGGUUAUAGUUUGUAUUUUCGUUUUUUAUUUUUUCUUUUAAGUUUUUUAAAAAUCAAUGCUAUCAAACUGUAGUUAUCUUAUAUAUAUAUAUAUAUAUAUAUAUAUAUAUAUAUAUAUAUAUAUAUAUUAAGAUUAUCAUUAAACAUGAAGAUUUACCUAUAAAAAAUAGGGUGAAUAAAAAAAAAAAAACAUAUGAAAGAAUCUGACGUAAAUUUAAAGCAUAUGCUCUUGAUAAUGGCAAUCAUCAAUGGGUUGCUCAUCUUGUAUAGGAUUAUCUGCGCAAGACAUCAAAUGUUUAUUAAAUUCAUGAAUCAGAAAAAUGAAAGUUCAUAUAACAAAUAAAGAUUGGAAUGGGUAAGAAGAGGUAUUUGUUUGAUGAGUCUUCUAGUCGAGUAAAAGUGUGGUAUUUAUAGGGUAGGUAGGCGUCUAGAUUUAUUGUUAAGGUAGUUUGAUAAUAUCUUGGAGAGAAAGUAGAAAAUCAAAGAUAUUAUAUACAACGAAAGUUUAGGAUAUGUUUAAGGAAAGAUUAGGAAAUCGUUAUAUACAAAAUUUAUUUGAAAAAGAUUGUAAAUGAUUUGGUUUUGUAGAGAAUCUUACAAAAAAGCUAAGCAACCAUUUAAAAGGAAUAUAGCCGAUUAAUGUGGUAAUUAGUUUAGGAAAUCACAUUAAACCGAAUUAAAAAAAUAAUUAUAGUCAUAACUUUGUUUCUUAAAAUCAAAUGUUAAGAAAAAUAUCGAAGAGUAUAUAAUUAUGGUAUCAUCGUUGAGAUUUUCUUGGGCGGGAAUUAUGGAUUCAAUUAGAGAAGGGAACCAUAUAAUGGAAAGAAUUUAAUUAGCCAUAAUUAUAUUUUAAAAAUAUUUUAUUGCAUAAUAUAAAGAGAAUAUAGAUGAUAUAUGGUAUGUGGAUGUAAUUAGUUAAGAUGACAUAAAUAUUCGAAAAUCAUCUCGAGAUAAAGAGGAAUAUAGCCUAUUAAUAUGGGAAGAAGUUAAGGAAUAAGGAAACAUAAAUAUAUGUGUAAUUAUCUAUAUUAAUGACGUUUUUUGGUUAGAGAUAUGUAGAAUAGGAAAAUCGAAAAUGAUAAUUUGGUAUUAAUUAAAUGCUAUCAAAUAUCUCGGAGAUUUUAUUUUAGAAACUAAUCGUGGACUAAGCAGAGAUUUUUGCAAGAUUCGUAAACGGAAAAUCUUUAAUGCUACUAUUGAUAAAAAGGAAUAGAACCAAUUAAUGUGGGAAGUAGUUAAGGAAAUAAGAUUAAAACGAAUUGUAUGUUUAAUUUAGUCUUAAAUGUCGUUUUUAUUACAAAUUUCCUUAAAUCUAUUAUCUAGGAUCCAAACAAAUUAAAACCGGGUCAAAACCCGGAUCCAAAUGAAUUAAAGCAAAAAAAUACUGCUAAAAAAUGUAUAUGUAGAUAUAACUUAUGGUUUUUGUACCCUUAACAGACCCAAUAACAUUAAUGGCCAAACAUGAACUAAUGGCCCAAUACACAUCUUCUUCUUCCUCCUUCCAUUGUCGACACUUCUACUUCUCUUCUCAACAUGAGACUUCUUCUCUUCUUUCUUAGUCUUCUUCUCUUCUCAAUAGAGUGAAUUCCAACAGUCAGAAAGCAAUCUGUGAAGAAAUUGAAAGGGCUUUUUCGUUGGUUGAAUCUGGAAAAUGCUUUUAUUGAGAUAGGCACAAAGGAACCUUCAAAGAACAUUAUAUCCACUUGGAAUUAAACCAAACUCAAAUAUUCAAUAAUAUGUAUAUAAUGGAGGUAAAUUAAUAAUAACUUAAAGAUGUUAAGAGAUUUUGAUAAUUCCUAAAAAUUUGAGGUUCUUUUAUAUAAUAUUCCCUCCGUUUUAUAUAAUACUAUUUAAUCUCUUGGAAGAAAAAUAAUUUAAUCCUGUUAAUUUUCUUGGAAAAAGAAUAAUGAAUGCCGAAGUUUGGAACGAAAGUGAUGCAGGGUUUAUAAUUUGUAAUCAUGUAUAUUUUCUUAGAAAAGGAUUUUAACGCUAAAAUGGAGCGAUGAUCAAUGUUAGACCAAAAUUGCAGACGUUAGGGCUUGAUUGGUUCUCCCGCUAGGACCCUCCUAGCGGUUGCUAGCCCCGUUCGAAAACGCGGCCUCCGCGGCCGCCUAAGCGGCGAUUAAGCGUUCGGCGGACCGUGGCCGCCGGGAUUUGUCUAAAUCGGGUAGUUAAUCGGAAAAAUCAUUUUUUUUGUAGUUUAUGGUUAAAGAUUUUAUUAUACAUGUCAGAUGUAUCAUAUUUGUGCAAAAACAAGAACAAAAACAAGUUAAAAAUGAUGUUUACUGUAUGAAAAACGAGCAGCCGCCAUUAUUAGGGUUAGAAAGUCGUCAACCUUAUGUGAAAAGAUGAUUGUCUAAUGUCUGUUUUACCCUUCAUUUAAGGAUAAGUCAAAAAAAAGAAUUAAAAUGAGAUUUGAGGACUCGAACUCGGGAAUAUAUGUGCAGAAUAUCUGCCGUAACCACUACACCAAAGAGACUUUCAAUGGUUUUUAAACAAAUAAAUUAUAUAUAUACACACAUUUAGAUAAAUGCCCUAAAACUAAUCCCCGAUUAAUUUCCGUGUAAUCCCCGAUUAACCGAUUAAUCGCUAGGCCCGGCUCGAGCGCCCGACUAACGCCUAGCGAUUUUUUGAACAAGGGUUGUUAGCGGUCAGUUGCGGUUGUUAGCGGUUGGUCCCAAUCAUAGAAAUCGCUCCGUACCGCUUCAAACCGUUCGAAAUCGCUGAAUUUCAAAAGCUCCUUCCGCAAGCGUUUGCGGUUGCAGGCGGUAGCGGUUGGAUUUAAAAAAAAAAAAAAUCAAAUGUUUACUUAUAAUUAUUAUAAAAUAUAUGAAUCCUAUAUAUAUCUUUCAUCUUUGUAUCAUGUUCUCAUCAGAAACCCUAAUCAAUAUUCUAAAACCCUAUUUUCUCAAUGUCUUCCACCCAAACUAAUGAAAAUCAAGAACCAAACGUAAGUAUCAUAUAUCAUUUUAUUCAUUCAUCACCUCAUGUGUAACUCUUUGAAUAUUUUUCAUGGCAUCAUUUUUUUCUUUUCAUUAUGUAUUGCUUUGCUUUUUGAUUGAAUAUAUGUUUCGAUUUGUUUUCUCGAAUAGAAAAUCACUUGCUUUUUGAUUGAAUUCAACGCUAUUUACAGUUUGUCUCAUUAAUUGAUGCAAUUUUUGGUGUUAACCCAGCAUAAACUACUAUCUUAUUACAAACUUUCUUUAGUUUUGAAUAAUUAUUUAGUACUUUAUUAUGGUUUUAAUUAUUAAGCAUGCUCAUUUUUUCUAAUAUUAUCAUAAUAAUAUAUUGGUGUUUUAAUUUCUUUUUUUGUAAUAUUUUUUUAUUUUUUUGGUCAUUUUUUUAUUUAACUGCUACCGCACCCGCUGGUUUACCAGUCAUAAAACUCCCGCAAACCCAUCCAUUUUCAAACGCUAAACCAGUCGUUCAAAACGCUUGAUAACGCUUGAAACCGCAACCGCCCGCUUCCGCAAACUCCCGCAACCGCAACCGCAACCGCUGCGUUUAAACCAAUGAAAUACGAAGGUAAGACGCAUAUUACUUAGCCACAAGUCAAACAAAUAUAUAUAAAAAUGACAUUUAAAAAAAUUAUUACAACUUCUCGAAGUAAAGACAAAUGCUAAAUAGCGGUCAGUCUCCUUAAGACCAAACGCAGUGGAGCAAUCAAGCCUCGGGUGUUAGUAAUAAACAAAUGAGAAAUAAUGCAAAUUUCGGCUAAGACACAAAACACGGGUGUAAGUUUACAUCCGGGUGUAGAAGCGACGUGGCAGAGUUUGGUUGGUGGAUACAUGUGAGAAUACUGAAGUCGUUGUUUCCUCCACUCAUUUUAGAGCUGGACAAGCUUCUCAUUGAUGGUUGGUGACAUUAUUUUAUUAAUAUAUCACCACUCACACCUACACUCUCACAUGCACCAUUGUGGAUGCUCUAAGGGGUAUCGAUUACGUGUAAAACCUAAUUUUAUUUUUUUAUAAAGUAGGUGUAGAAUAUAGAGAUUAUUUUUAUAAGUUUUUGGAUCCUCUGAUUUGUAUUAUUUUAUAAGUCAAGGUGAAUUUGAAGACCGAAGACAUUGAAAACUAGAUAUAGGGAUUACGAUGAAAACGUAAUGGAGAGAACGCAAUGGAAAGAGAAAUGGUGAGAGAUCAAUUCCAGCCACGCAACUCAUCAUUUGGAUAGACAAACAAAUUUGAAACCAACUUUCAGAGAGAUUCGAACGGCCAGAGAUACGAACCAUGUCUCCAUGCCGACAAGAGAUAUGAACCAUGCUUCUAGAAGUUUUUUUGCCGACAAGAGAUAUGAACCAUGUAUAUUCAUAGAAAUGAGUUGCGUUUUUCAUGAUCAGGUGUAAGAAUGCCUAUACGAUGACCGAUGAGUUUGUUGUUUCGAUUCCAGGAAUGGAAAAUGCGUUUCCAGAACUUUCAGGGGCUGUACUUGUUUGCUCGGUUCCACCUUCGGGUAAUAGGUAAACUUCUCACAACCUAUUGGCUAUUUCCUAUAUCAGUGAACUUCUUCGUUUAGCUUAUAUAUAACUUCCGGGACUCUCUUUGUUGUUCAGUGGCUUAGUGUUACGUUAUCUCUUCUCUAAACCUGUGGCUGCUUUUAAGGUAAAACUCUUUAGCUGUAUCUUGCAAGGAUGAUCUCAGUGUCAUGUUCUAUUUGUUUAGCAAUGUUUGUUCUUGGUUAUGUUCUUGAGUAGGUUACUCUCAGUUUAGCUGCUAAAGGUUUUCAGAAAUCUAUUCCUCUUUGUCGAGAAACAUUCUUCUCUCAAGCUAUGGAUGAUCAACUUGUGAAGCGGUAUACCUUUAAUCUAGCUCAAUAGUCACCUUGAAUCUAAAAUAAAGUUUCAGUAAUCUAAACAAAUUGUCUCUCUCUUUUCUUGAUUCAGUUACCAGGAUCUUAUGAUAGAGAGUUCACGGAUGCCGCUGUUUGAUCUGAGGAAGCUAAACGCAUCACUUCCAGUACCAAAACCAAUGGAAAAUUCUACAAAUGUUCUUGUUUUAGGUGCCAAAGAUGACUUCAUAGUGGUAAGAACUAAGAACGCACCCUCCUUUGUCUUUCUAACCAAACCAGAAAGUUUUUCAAUAUUGGUACUGUAUUAGACCGAAACUGGUUAUGGUUUUGCAGGAUGAUGAGGGGCUGAAGGAAACCGGGCGGUUUUAUGAGGUUGAACCGGUUUGUAUUGAAGGUGUUGCUCAUGACAUGAUGCUAGAUUGUUCAUGGGAGAAAGGUUCUGAGGUUCUUUUAAGUUGGCUUUGUCUAAACCGGGAAAUUUAUCUGCUUAACGGACUAUUUUUGUAGAUAGCUGCUUCUCUUUUUAUUUUUAUUUCAGGUAAAAGAAAGAAACGAGAAAUGUUGAUUUAGUUUGUAGAUAGUAAAGAUGAUCAGUGUGGGAUUGGGAAAAAAAUCAAAAUUGCAAGUUUGUAUGACAUUAAGAGAAUCUCAUUAUCUCAGAGAAAAUGAAUAAAAAUGCCAGAAAAUGCCUAUCACACCAAGACUCACAUUGUCUCAUGAUUUUUGCCAUAUCCAUUGAGUAGCGUCCGUUGCGGUAUUGAUUUUCAAGCCAUAUUUUCAGCUUCGAUUUGGAUUUCUCCAUUCCCGGAGGCGGUCCGGCGGACUCCUGGUGAGAGCUCAUGGUUCGUCGAAGAUUUCUUCAAGGUCGACAAAAUUAUCUCUACAAAAAUCAAAGAGAGACCCAAAUUCAAAAACUGAGAAACUGAGAAACUGAGAAACUGAGAAAGAUGACGAACCAUGAGCUCACAUGGUGGCUUUGUGUUGUGGGUCCCAACCAAGUCUUGAGUUGCUUUUUACAUCACAUUAAUGAACUUAGAGUUGGAGUACUCCACAUUCUUUUAUCACCGCAUCGUUACCCUCGAUGUCGAACGAAAAUAAAAGCUCGUUGCACGUCACAUCAGCUUCAAACUCAAAGAUGAGCAAAUGCUUUCUUAAAAUGAGGGGCACGGGAAAGCAAUAUUGAGGUCUCCGUGAAACAUCGACGCCAAUUUUACCUUUCUCUGUUAUUCUAGGAAAUACAAUUGUUUCCUUAGCGGCGGCCUCCUCCUUGUCAUUGUCAACUUUUUUAUCCAACAAGACGCAAGCCUUUGAUUCAAAUUUACCAUUAUGGAACUCCCAUUAGCACGGCGGUAAGUGAUGUUUGCGGGCACUUCUCUACCGGGUAAGAACGCUAAGGUACUACUACUAGUCUGGAUGAAUUCUCUCGCUUCAUUAUUCAGCUUGAAGCAAUUAAUAAACCAGAGAAAUAUUUCUGGAUGAUUGUGAAAGGAGAAAUCAAGUCUCUCCAGUGACUGGCAAUUUAUGGCUGCUACUUUUGAUAAGGAAUCUGAAAGUUGUGGGAUUGUUACCAGCCUCUUGCAUCCCUCUAGUACAAGUGUCUGAAGACGAGAGAUUUUCUGAACCCACAGAGGAAUUUCUUGUAUUUUUGUAUCGUUAAAGUAAAGCUUUGUGAUGAUAUCGAGAGCAUGUGGGAAUUCCUUGAGAUUGUCAUUGUAUGACAUUUCCAAUUUACGAAGAGGAGACCAUGACUUGAUCGUCGAAGGCACUUCUUUUACUGCAGUUUUCAUGAGGUUGAGACGCUUAAUGUUUGUGGAGAUCUCCGGAAAACUUUUGAUCAGUAAGCAAUCAGCGAGAUCAAGGUAAUCGAGAGAUUCCAAGUUGAUAUUAGUUGGAAGAGCCUCUAGCUUUGAGCAUCCUCGUAAUAGUAACACUUGCAAUUUCUGAAGGCUUCCAAUAGAGGAGGGGAGCUCUGGCAAACUUGAGCAUCCAUACAGAAUCAAUUCUUCAAGGUUAGUGGCAGUUGAGAGAUCAGGUAACUCUUUUAGGUGUUUCGACUCACGCAAAUCCAUCCUCUUGAGAUUUCCAAGUGGCUGCACAAACAAAUAAAGACAACAUAAGGAGACACAUUAAAAUUAAAUUCAAAUAAUAACGGAGUGUCUUUUAUAUUGACUGAAAAAUUAAAUUCUUCGUUCAUACAACUUAUACAUAGUUCCUCCCUUUUCACCAAUGAUACUAGCCAUGGAGGGAUACUACAAUGUAACCAAGCAGAAUAAAGAUUUCAAUAGAUAGCCUUCUAAGAAAUAAUACCGGAAGAUCACUCCUUCUUGACUCCUAAUAUAUGUAAGAAAAACAAACCCAAUAAUAUUACAAAAUUGGAGAGAAACACAACAAUUAUGUACCUGAUUUCCUUGCCACAUGUUCUGAAGUUUGCUGUUCCACAUAUGUAGCUGGACUAGGUACUUCGUACAAAAAUUGGAAGGCAAACAUUUCAUUGGAAAACGAAACCAUUCUAUUAUUCUAAGUUUCCGAGGUAGAUUAUUCAAACCUUGCGGUAAGUACAAUUUAUCGUUUUCACCUUCAUAUGGGCCAUGGAAUCUUAAGAAUUUAUGGUUAGACAUUCCUUCGAAACCUCUCUCACUGAUAUUUAAUUGGCCUGAUAGGUUUUCUACCUCCAAAAGUAUACCUAUAACAUUUCUACUACCCUGUAAAAAGACCAUAACAGAUAGAAAACCAGAGAUAAUUAGCUAUUGAAUGAAUUUAAUUUGUAAGGAAGCAAGAGAAUAGUAAUAUAACUAACCGUGUUAUCAGUGAGUACUUCACAAAUAUCUCUAGCAUCAACCAAAAAUUGACGCUUCCCAGGCUCACGAAUGCAUUGGUGCCCAGGCUUAUGACGGACAAUGUCUCUACCUAAUUGCACUAAUAGAUUGUGCACCUUUAUACUUGUAUGGUUAGUAGAAAGAAUCUCAAUAGCUAUGAGAGAUUUCUCAGCUAAGAGGUGAAGCCCUUGCCUAACAUCUAAGAAACUUAAAGCGAGAUAAUCUUCCACUUUCACCAUUUCUUCAUUGUUGAAAAGGCAGGCUAUAUGAAGAAAUAAAUCUUUAUCUUCAUCACAUAAGGCAUCGUAACUGAACUUUAAAAUGCUUUGAAUACUAGCAUCAAGGCGAAUCUUUAACCUUGGUAAUGCAUUUACCCACUCAUGCCUAGGCAUUCCUCGGAAGUGGGAUCCCAUAACUCUUAGUCCCAAAGGUAGAUUACCUAAAAGUUUUGUAACUUGCCACGCAAGCUCCUCAAAACCAUCUUUAGGGAAGUUUUGGCCAAAAGCAUACAUACAAAAGAUCUGAUAAGCUUCAUAUGCUGAUGGAAACUCCACCUUGUAAAUAUGGUUGAUGCCAUGUGCCUUCAAAAGCCUUUGGUCUUGUGUUGUGAUGAUAAUCCGACUUCCAUGACCGAACCACCGAGUUUCUUUUGCGAUAGCAUCUAGUUGUAUUGAUUGAUCAAUGCUAUCAAGAACAAUAAGCACUCUCUUGUCGUUCAACCUAUCUUGUGCAACUCCUAAAUGAGGAAGCUCCAUAUCCUUGUGGUUGAUUAUUUGGGACAAAAACUGUUGCUGUAACUGAAUCUUUGCACUAUACUCAUCAGAACACACUGGUCUUGUAUACAUCAGCUCUUUGAUAUUCUCCAUGAAGAUACUCAAUUCAAAACUUUCAGAAAAUUGGCUAUACAAGACUCUGGCAAUGGUAGUCUUCCCUAUCCCAGAUGGACCCCAAAUCCCAAUCAUCCUUACUUCAUCAGAGUCUAGGCAUAACAACGACUCCAUUUCGUUCAUAUGAGCCCCCAUCCCAAUGAAACCGUCAAAAUCUCUUGACGGUGAGUAUCUAUUCAGCAUGUUUGAAACAUCAGUGGCGAUUUUUUUAGUCAUGGCUGCUUCAUUAUCCCUAACAAAGGAAGUGACCAAUUUAUACAUCGAUUAAUAUUUAUAAAAAAAAUUCUCUCACACAUCCAAAAUUUAUGUAUUGGUUGUCUUGAUAUUCUUGAAAAUCUAUCAAUAAAUAUAGUUUGAUGUGUUAAUAAAAUAUUAGUAAGGGCAAGUAUAAAUCAAGAAAGCUAACCAGUUACGGGAAUGCUCCCCAGCGAUUGUUGCCACAGCCUCCAAAACGUUUUGCCAUCUCUUAAUGUCCUCUUUGGUUUUACCUUUACACGUUUUCUUGAAGACCUUCCCAAAAUCUCCUGUCUGCUUCUUUACGUCUGUUGGAUCAACGUCAUAGAAAAUGGUCAUCACUGUUUGACCCAACUCUUCUCUACAAUUCAUGAUCUCCACCAACUCGUUUAAGCACCAAGACGAAGAAGCGUAGUUCCUCGAGAGCAAGACGAUCGCGAUCUUCGAUCCUUUUAUAGCUUCUAUGAGCUCAGGACCGAUAGACUUGCUCCUCUCGAUAUCAUUAUCAAUGAAUGGAACGAUUCCCUUUCCUUUGAACUCUUUUAGGAUGUGAGCAAGAAAUGUUUUUCUAACAUCUGCCCCGUGGAAGCUUGGGAAGACAUCGUGUUUCCGAUUUCGAGACAAAGAAGAUGGAGUAGAUGAAAUAGAUAAAGUAGAAGAAGAAGAAGAAGCUAUUGUUUUGUUUUCUUGAUGGGAUUUGACUUUUCUAUAAAACAUGAAAAAUAUUGUACCCAAAAGCGUGAAGAAAGUUAUGGCAGCAACACAAAAACUAGAGAGAAAAGAAGAAUCCAUCUUAGUAUGAUGAAGAGAAGAUCAAUAUCUCAAAGCUUGUCAGAAAGCAAUCUGUUAAAAGCUUUUUCGUUGGUUGAAUCUGGAAAAUGUUUUUAUUGAGAUAGGCACAAAGGAUCCUUCAAAGAACAUUAUAUCCACUUGGAAUAAAUAAUAGAUUAACUGACUCAAGCAAAACUCAAAUAUUCAACAAUCUGAGUAUAUUGGGGGUAAAUUGAUAAUAACUUAAAGAUGUUAAGAGAUUUUGAUAAUUCCUAAAAAUUUGAGUUUCUUUUAUAUAAUACUAUUUUAAAUCUUGGAAAAAAAUAUUUAAAUAAAAAAAAAAUGAAUGCUGAAGAUGGAACGAAAAUGAUGCAGGGUUUUUAAACGGUUUUGUGCAAAAAAAACUCAAAGUCGCCCAUUUUUGCAAUUUUACCCUCCACCUCCGAAAAAUGCAGAAUAAUUCUAUGAAGUCAAAAAUAAUAUGUAAUCUUAUACAAUAUAUAUAUAUACAAGGGCUAUAUUGCGUUUUAUUUUUGAUUUCGUAAGAUUAUUCUGCAUUUUUUCGGAAGUGGAAGGUAAAAUUGCAAAAAUGAACGAUUUUGAGGUUUUUUUUGCACAAAACCCGUUUUUAAAUCAGGUAUAUUUUCUUAGAAGAGGAUUUUAAUGCAGUAAAUGGAGCGAUGAUCAAUGUUAGACCAAAAUUGCAUACGUUAGUUAGACAAUGAAAUACGAAGGUAAGAUGCAUAUUACUUAGCCACAAGUCAAACAAAUACAUAUAUAUAUAUAUAUAUAAAGUCAUUAAAAUUUUUUACAACUUGUCGAAGUAAAGACAAAUGCUAAAUAGCGGUCAGUCUCCUUAAGGGAUAUUGAUUAGGUGUAAAACCUAAUUUUUUUUAUUUAUAAAGUAGGUGUAGAAUAUAGAGAUUAUUUUUAUAAGUUUUUGGAUCCUCUGAUUUGUAUUAUUUUAUAAGUCAAGGUGAAUUCGAAGACCGAAGACAUUGAAAACUAUACGAUUACGAAGAAAACGUAAUGGAGAGAGCGCAAUGGAAAAAGACAUGGUGAGACAUCAACUCCAGCCACGCAACUCAUCAUUUGGAUAGACAAUUACAAAUUCGAAACCAACUGUCAUUGAUUCGAACGGCCAGAGAUACGAACCAUGCCUCCAUCCUGACAAGAGAUAUGAACCAUGCUUCUAGAAGUUUUUUUUUUCAAUUCUCAAUUUUAUUACCUUCUUAAAUUAUUCAGAAACAUUUGCAUUUGAUGUAACAAACGUUAUUUUUCGUGAAUAUAAUUUCAUAUUAUAAUUAAAAAAAAAAAAAAAAAAAAAAAAAAAAAAAAAAAAAAAAAAAAAAAAGAGGAACACGUAAAGGAAGGAUGACCAUUUGAGAAAUUAUCUUACUUAGUAGUGUAGUAUUUCGUGAAGUAUCUGCAAUACGUUUCAUGCUGAUUUUGAAAAUACGUUACAUGUUUCAUGAACUUUCAUCUUUGUCGUUAUUUUUAUUAAAUCCAUUUAUGUUUGAAUUCCACUAAAAAUUUCAGAUAUUCGAGUGAAAGUUUGCUCUACUUUAAAUAGUUUCUAGUUAUUAUGAAGAAUGAAUAUUUCAUACAUUAGUUAAUAUGAUGAAUGAAUAUUUCAUACAUUAGUUGAGGAUUGGGGUUUGCUUGUAACCCAAGAAACUAUUUCUGACCUUAAUUUCUUCAACGGUUCUGAGUUUGUUAAGAUGCAGCCAACAAUUCAACCAUGAUGAUGAGAGAAUCUCAAAGCCAAGAAUAAACUCAAGAAAAUUGCUGUAAAAUUGAUAUCGCUGAAAUGGCAAUGAUUAGACAAGAACAAAUUAACGUUUUCAUCAGAUCUAAUCGGAACUCUUUUCAAAUAUUUGGACUAGCUAUGAACAUCUUUGUCAAAUGUUAAUUAUGCUGCUGCAGAAGAAAGGAUAUUUGGCUAUCAUCCCAAAUGCAAAGAAUCGCGAUGCCUGGAGCCGUACCUGCUGUCUCAAACUCCUUUGGAUGCUCUUCUUUCGUUCAGAAUCAGUGUGGGUACUUCUGCACCUCACAACAUUCACCCUCUUCGACUCUGUAGAUUCUUCAGCUUGGAUAAUCGAAGGAGUAAAGCAUACAAACUACUGUGCUGGUCAAACCUACGACAUCAUAAGAGAAAGAAAACAUACAGUUAGCUGGAGUAACAUUGUAUGGUUUGAUCGAGGAAUCUUGCGGCACAAAAGCCUUACCUGGAUGUUAUAAACUGCUUGUUGUGCAACAAAAUUUCCCAAUCUAGGGACAAAUUUUAGUAAAAAGUUUUGAUUACUUUGGAAAAAACUUUACCUCAUCUCCUUCUCCGUCUUUGAACGGUAGUUGUCAAGAAAACCGCAUUGAUGAAGCGCCGUGCCAUGGAUAUUGUAGAAGAAAUGGAGGCAGGAUUAAGGUGAGUGGAAGAAACAAGAACAAUAGGAGAUCAUUGUUUUGUUCUUCUCUGAAGUUCUCAACCAAUUACGCCCCAACUAGUCUUGAGUUGUUUUUUCUCCAAAAAAUGGAAGGGCUUAGAGUUGGAGCACUCCAGAUUCUUUUAUCACCACUUCGUAACAAUUGACUACGAACUCGAAGAAAAACUCGUUGGACGUCACAUCCACUUCAAGUUCAAAGGUAAGCAAAUGCUCCGCUAAAAUGGGAGGCACACCAAAGCCGUGAGCAGAUCUCCAUGACCAAUGUGGGCGCCGCAGUAUCUAAGUAAGACAAAGUAAAAUUCGUAUGUGAUUAGUUAGAAAAAAACAAAAUUUAUGAUAAAACAUUAUUAAUGGAUAAUAUAUCUUUAAAUUAGACUAUCUGCUUUUAACAUUAUUAAUGGAUAAUAUAUAUUAAUGGAUAAUAUACAAAAUUGACAUUUUUAUAGUUUAUUUGUCUAGUUUAUAUAAACUGUCUUCUUAUAAUUUUAGACUAUCUGCUUUUAACCUUUUCAAUUUUAAUUGUCACUCAUUAAAUUGUGUUUUAUUAUUGAAUUUCACUCUUUGUACUUAAAAAAAUUAAAUAAAAUUCACAUUUAUUUACUAAGAAAAGUAAAAAAUGUGGAAUACAAAAGAAAAAAAAUAUUUUGGUAAAAUGAGAGAGACAAACACAAUAAUAGCUUAGAAAAAGCCUUAGAAAUCACACAAUCAUGCACUCACAUCAAAAUUUCAUCGACCGCUUAAACCAAACUCUAUUGUUUUCAUUCUCCUUUAGAAAUAAAGAACUAUACAACCAAGGAUGUAUAUACUUUUCUCCGAUUGUUGGUUGAAUAUUUUUUUCAAAUUAAUUUCAUAUAGAUUUCACUGAUCUGUUGAAAUUCCUGGGCAAUUCUUGUUAGGGGUGACCAAUACGUGCUAUUGUACACAAGGCCAAAGCUAUAUGAGGGGGGUCAAGUGACGCCUAUAAAUUUUAUAAAAAAUUAUUUGCAAGGCUUAAUUAAUGGUAUUUGGUUGAUAAUUUUGUUUGAAAUAUUUGACACUUUUGUAAUUAAGUUUCGUAAAAAAAAUUACAACAAGAAGAAUACCACACAGAAACUAACCAGGUAAUCUUGUGAUGUACAUUUAUUUCGAUCACCCACUUUUAGAGAAAUCUCCAACUAGUUUUUUUAAGGUUUACGAUGAAUCACUUUGAUGAUUGAGCUAGUGAUGUACAUUUGUUUGUGUUGUUUAGCGCUUUUGUAUUUGUUGAUUACUAUGACUGAAGUGAUACUUAUUCGGUCUUAACUUUUAGUCUGAAUCGAAUUUUAAGUUUUGUUUUAGCUGAAACAUAAAACUUUAUUGGAACCUUUUUUUUUGUUUUUUUUUGUUACAAUGAAUGCCGUGAGUUAGUGCUGAAUGCUAACUCCAAUGAUCUCGUUGGUGAGACGAUCGAAUACUCACAAUUUUUGGAGUUUAGUGAAUCGAUCGUUCACUUAUAUCGACUAACCAUUGAUCAUCUGUCAUCUAACUAUGUUACAUUUUGUGUAUGAAAUUUAUUAACUUGAUUAAAUAUUGUUUUUGAUCAAUGUUGAAAUCUUUAAGCAGGAUACAUGUCGAAGGAAAAUCAUAUGCUCCCUGAGUCAAGCAAUAGGACUAGAGUAUCGCCAUACCCACUUCGCUCUUCAAGGACAAAGAAAUACAAAGCACAUGAGUCAUUUAUCCAAUCAGAAUGGGAGGAUGUGCGGUGUGUGAUUUGCAUGGAACCGCGUCACAAUGUUGUUUUUUUUAGAUGUUCUUCCUCCCUUAAUGGAUGUCGUCCUUAUAUGUGCGACACAAGUGCUCGUCACUCCAACUGUUUCAAGCAGUUCCGCAAAAAAAAAACAAGAAAAAACGCUCAAGUAACAAGACCUUAAACUGCCCUCUAUGCAGAGGAGAAGUCUUUGAGACAACAAAAGGGACAAGUACUGCAAGUAGAUUCAUGAAUGCUAAACCGAGAUCUUGUCCUAUCGAUGAUUGCAAUUUCUCCGGGACUUAUUCUCAACUUGAUAAACAUUUGAAAAAGAGCAUCGCUGUCUCAUCCCCCCCAAAGGUCGAUCCACAAAGGCAAUGUAGGUGGGAACAAAUGGAGAGACAUGUGGAAUACGAUGACCUCAUGAGUGCAGCUGAGAUUCCGCAUAUCCAUGAGGUUGUACAUCAUCAACUUCCUUACACUCAUCAUCUUCCCGUGUUUCGGUUGAACAUUGUUAAUGGAACCGUGCGAAAUAUUAUUCGUCCGGUUCAUGUAAGGAACUGAUUUGGUGCCACCAACUACAUUGUAGGUAACAUGCCUAGACUGCAUUUUUGACCGAUGAGCGCGGCUAGAUUCCUUGAAGAAAUCUAACAAGCUUACAUUGCUUACCGAGAACCAAAUAUAUAUAUUAUGAUUUUGUUCGAAGCUUAAUGUCUCAAAAUAUAUAUUUUAGUUAAUUUGGAUCCAUAAUAUUUAAAAUUCAAUAUUUAGGUUACUAUAUAGCGAAUUUCUAAGCUCAUAUCUUUUACCUUCCAAAGUUUUGUUUAAUAAUAUCUUAACUUAUUAUUUUAUUAAGAGCAAACUUCAUAUAAAUAUACCAUCUAUUCACUAAAAUACACAAAUAUUUUGGAUACAAGAAAAACAUGAAUUAAUUUUGUCUACCAUACACAAAUUUUCAAAUAGUACUAACACCCACAAGUUGAUCAAAGUACUUUCUGUUAACUUUUCUAAUUUUUCAAUCAAAAUAUUAAUAUUGACAUUAUAAAUUUAUUUUUAAAAUAAUAAUAAAUUCUUGAAAAAUUCCAAAAAAAAACUGAAAAUUCUCUUUCAGAUUCAUAAGAAAUUUUUUAUUUACUUUUAAUUAUUUUUUUAUAAAAUUAAAUAGUCUUGGACUUUCGAAUUUUUCAAGAAUUAAUUAAGAAAUUUUAGAGAGUUUUCAAAAUAAUUUUCAAAUAGUACUAACACCCACAUCGAAAGUAAUUUCUGUUAACUUUUCUAAUUUAUCAAUCAAAUAUUAAUAUUGAAAUUAUAAAUUUAUUUUCAAAUAAUAAUAAAUUCUUGAAAAUUUCCAAAAAAAAAAACUGAAAACUCUCUUAAAUUAAAUAUUAAUAUUCAGUUUCAUACGAAUUUUUUUAGUUAUUUUUAAUUAUUUUUUUUAUAAAAUUAAGUAGUUUGGAGUAAGAAUUAUGAAUAACAUGUCUUUUGGACUUUCGAAUUUUUCAAGAAUUAAUUAAGAAAUUUUAGAGAGUUUUCAAAAUAAUUUUCAAGAAUAUUAACAGUGUUAAUAGUCUAUGGUUAUCUUUUUUCUUACAUUAUUUAGCGUAAACAGUAAAACUUCUGAUAGUUCUUGAGAGCUCUCCUCUUCGGAACAGCUCGACCUUCACGCCAAUGGCGUCUUCUUCUCUUACUUCGUUCCCAUGCCUAUCCUCGCUCAAAAUGACGAUUAAGCCUGUUGGUGUUUAUUUUAUAUAAACAUGUUUAUUUACAUAAACAUUUGUAUUUAUGUAAAUACCAUUCUACUUGUGCAAAUUUCAUCACGUCUCUUGGUUACGUUUAUACCGAUACACCGGUUGAGAGAAGAGAAGCAUCUCUUGGUUCAAGCAUCGCUUCAUUAAUAUAUAAGAGACGUAACGAUGUAGAGAGACGGGGACAGAGAGACAAGAGAGAAGAACAAUACAAGAGAAACAAAGGAGAGAAAGAUUGGGAUUGAUUCUCAUCUUCUUCUUCUCCAAAUCAAUUUCAGAGAAUCUCAAAGUAGAGUUUGCUAGGGUCUCUGUACGGUGUUAAAACAGAGAUCGAUAGUUGUAUCCUAAAGAUAGAAGCCUACACAAAGCUACGUACACCACAGUAGGGGCUAAAUUCUGUCUUAGGAGAUUGCCAAUUGCAAGCCUCUAUCAAUCUAUACGUUGUUCUUAUCAAGAAGAGAAGAGAUCGUAAAGUACGUUUCAGUUCUGUAACAAUUGUUUUUCUAUUUGUUACUUAUUAUAUAAAGUGAACGUAUUUGUUUAUGGGUAUUGAUCUGCAUCUAUAAUCUUCAAUCAACAAUCUAAGACAGAAUUAUUUGUUGUUUUGAAAUUGAUAGAUGGAUCAAUCUGCUGGGAAUGUGAAAAAUCACAUUGAGAAGCCUUUUGUUUUCAAAGGAGUGGAUUUCAAAAGAUGGCAGCAAAAGAUGAUGUUCUAUCUCACAACUUUGAAUUUGGCACAAUACUUGACUUCCGACGCACCGGAAUUACCUGUUGAAGGAGACAUUUCGGAUGAAGUCAUCAAAGCAUCGGAGACAUGGUCACAGAAUGAGUUUUUGUGCAAAAACUACAUUCUUAAUGCCUUGGAUGAUUCUCUCUAUGAUGUUUAUCAGAUUUUCCAAACUCCAAAACAGUUGUGGGAAUCAUUAGAGAAGAAAUACAAGUCUGAAGUUGCAAGUGCCAAGAAAUUCAUUGUGGGAAAAUUCUUGAAUUUCAAGAUGAGUGACACCAUCUCUGUGGUGAAACAAGUGGAAGAAAUUCAGAUUUUUGCUCAUGAAUUGAAAGAUGAAGGUAUGGGGCUGAAUGAGGCGUUUCUUGUUGCGUCCAUCAUCGAAAAGUUGCCUCCAACGUGGAAAGAUUUCAAGAUCUAUCUAAAGCACCUACAUGAAGACAUGAGUUUCGAGCAACUAAUUCUCAAGCUUCGUGUUGAAGAAGAGAAUCGUAAGAAUGAGAAAUCUGAGUUUUCUUCUAUGGAAGCGAAGGCCAAUGUAAUUGAGGGAAACAACUCCAAAUCCAAGGGCUUUAAGAAGAACAAAAACGGUAAGAAACCGUUCAAUCCACCAAAGGGCUUUAACUUCAAGAGGAAGCCACAAGGUGCUUGUUGGGUGUGUGGAAAGCCUGGACAUAGAGCCAAGGACUGCCGCCAUAAGAAAGAAAGGACAUCGGUUCGAGACGCAAGCAACGCAAACCUUGUUGAAAAUCAGUUUGUUGCGGUCGUUUCCGAGGCAAACAUGAUGACAAACUCCAAUGAUUGGUGGGUUGACACUGGUGCUACAAAGCAUGUGUGCUCCGACGUGAGUAUGUUCUCCACGUAUGAACAAGGUUCUGGUGGAGAAAAGCUUUACAUGGGAAACGCGAGCACCGCGACGAUCGCAGGGAAAGGCAAAGUGGUUUUAAAACUCACAUCUGGGAAGGAACUUGCACUCACAAACGUACUCCAUGUCCCUGAGAUUCGAAAGAAUCUGAUUUCGGGGUCACUUCUUAGCAACAAAGGCUUUAAGAUUGUAUUUGAAUCUGAUAAGGUUGUACUCACUAAAGGUGGGAUGUAUGUAGGAAAAGGCUACUUGUGUGAUGGUCUUUUCAAACUGAAUGUUGUACCGAUCGUUAAUGAAAACGCAGGCAAUAGCACUGCUUCUGUUUAUUUGCUUGACUCAAAUGAUUUAUGGCAUGCAAGAAUGGGACAUGUCAAUUAUCAUUCUUUAUAUCGAAUGAUGAAUUUAGGAUUGUUACCAAAGAACAAUCUUAAUAAUAAUAAAAGAAGUAAAUGUGAAGUUUGUGUGGAAUCAAAAUAUUCACGACAUUCUUAUAAAUCUGUGGAAAAGUCAAAUGUAUUACUUGGUUUAAUACAUAGUGACUUGUGUGAUUUUCAAUCAAUUCCAAGCCGUGGAGGAAAAAAUUAUUAUAUAUCUUUUAUUGAUGAUUUCAGCAAGUAUUGUCAAAUCUAUUUGAUUAAUACUAAAGAUGAGGCUUUGAAUAUGUUUAAGAAAUUCAAAGCAGAAGUUGAAAAUCAAUUAGAUAAGAGAAUAAAAAUUCUCCGAUCAGAUCGUGGUGGAGAAUACAAAUCAAAUGAAUUCUCAGAUUUUUGUUCCACACAUGGAAUCAUUCAUCAAACUACGGCACCUUACACUCCGAUGCAGAACGGAGUUGCCGAAAGGAAAAAUAGAACGCUUAAAGAGAUGAUGAAUUCCAUGUUAAACGAUUCGGGUGCACCACCUAAUCUAUGGGGUGAAGCCAUUGUCACGGCUAAUUCAAUUUUGAAUAAGAUUCCUCACAAGAAGAGUGAUAAAACUCCAUAUGAGAUGUGGAAAGAGAAGACUCCUUCAUAUAAAAAUAUGAAAGUGUGGGGUUGUCUUGCAAAGGUUCAAAUACCUUUACCAAAAAGAACUAUUAUAGGACCAAAAACGGUGGAUUGCGUUUACAUCGGUCCUGCGGAAAAUAGUGCAGCUUAUAGAUUUUUAGUACAUAAAUCUAAUAAUGUUGAGGUAAAGGUAAAUACGAUCAUUGAAUCUAAUGAGGCUGAGUUUUUUGAAAGUGUGUUUCCAUACAAAGAGCCUAGAGAAACAAGUACUAAACGGGUACGUGAGGACAAUGAAUGUGCCUCAAAGGUUCAAGAAGAAGAAAAUGAACCAAGAAGAAGUAAAAGAGCAAGAGUUGCUAAAGAUUUUGGCACGGACUUUAUGACGUACUUGAGUGAAUACGAACCUCAAACGUACAAGGCUGCAAUUGAAUCAUCGGAUGCACCUUAUUGGAAAGAGGCGAUUCAAAGUGAAGUUGAAUCCAUUUUGAGAAAUCAUACAUGGGAAUUGGUUGAUUUACCACCUGGUAAUAAACUAAUUGGACAUAAAUGGAUCUUCACAAAGAAGUUGAGACCAGAUGGUACGAUUGAAAAAUAUAAAGCAAGACUAGUGGCGAAAGGGUUUCGUCAAAAAGAAGGUCUUGAUUUCUUUGAUACGUAUUCUCCGGUGACUAGAAUCACUUCGAUUAGAUAUCUAAUCGCAAUUUCGGCCAUAUAUGAUCUAGAAAUUCAUCAAAUGGAUGUUAAAACAGCAUUCCUAAAUGGUGAACUUGAUGAAGAAAUAUAUAUGGAACAACCCGAAGGAUUUAUAGUCAAAGGGAAAGAGAAUAAAGUUUGUAAGCUUAAAAAGUCUUUGUAUGGACUUAAGCAAGCGCCAAAACAGUGGCAUGAGAAGUUUGAUAAUACAAUGAGAUCGUAUGGUUUUAAAAUAAAUGAAUGUGACAAGUGUGUCUACGUUAAGGAAACUAAAAAGGAUACGAUCAUUGUAUGUCUUUAUGUGGAUGAUAUGUUAAUAAUGGGAACAAGUAAAGACAUUAUCAAUGCCACAAAGAAGAUGUUGAGUGACAAUUUUGAAAUGAAAGACAUGGGAUUGGCUGAUGUAAUUCUUGGAAUUAGAAUUAAAAGAGAGCCAAAUGGGUAUUCACUUACUCAAUCUCAUUAUGUGGAGAAAGUUCUAAAGAAGUUUGGUCACUUUGAUGAUAGACCGGUAGUUACUCCGUUUGAUCCAACGAGCAAGCUUUCCAAGAAUGAAGGUGAAAGUGUGUCUCAGUUGGAAUACACACAAAUUCUUGGAAGCAUCAUGUACAUUACAAAUUGUACAAGACCAGAUUUGGCUUACUCAAUAAGUCGAUUAAGUCGAUAUUCAAGUAAUCCAAAUAGAGAACAUUGGAAUGCUUUGGUUAGAGUAUUGAGAUACUUAAAGCAUACAAUUAAUUAUGGUCUAUAUUACACUAAAUUUCCUCAUGUAAUAGAAGGAUAUAGUGAUGCAAAUUGGAUUUCUGGAAGUACGGAUAGUAAAUCCACAAGUGGUUAUGUGUUUACACUUGGUGGUGGAGCUGUGUCUUGGAGAUCAUCUAAACAAACGUGUAUUGCACGUUCUACAAUGGAAUCAGAAUUUAUCGCACUAGAUAGUGCUGCAGAAGAAGCCGAAUGGCUAAGGAAUUUUAUUGAAGAUAUUCCAUUAUGGCCAAAGCCGGUAACUGCACUAUGUAUCCAUUGUGAUAAUAUGGCUGCCUUAAAUAUAGCGAAAAAUAAAAUUUUCAAUGGCAAGUCAAGGCACAUUCGAAGGAGACAUGCUACAAUACGACAAUUGCUUUCCAAUGGAGUGAUAGCAUUGGAUUAUAUUAGAACAAAGGAUAACUUGGCUGAUCCUUUGACUAAAGGCCUACCGAAAAAGCAAGUCGUAUUCACUUCGAGGGGAAUGGGUUUAAAGCCAACACAAUGAGUCAUCACUUGGUGGAAACCUUACCUAGCAACAUUGGAGAUCCCAUGGUUUAGGUUCAAGAGGCAAACUGGCUGAGGAAGACUCAAGAAAGAUAUACAUAUUACUUAUUCCUAUGAAGUUAAAUGUAUUUCCAUUGAUGUUUAAAGGGAUGAAUAUUUUUCUUAAUAACAUUAAUAUUUUUUUUUAGUGGAAUAGAAUGGACUAUUCUUAAUUAAUGUUACCUAUAUGAGAGUGGUGUCGCGGUCGCACCUAUGAGAAUUGAGAUGGCUAAAUUCUCUAGAGCUCUCACGAAGCCGGGAUAUGUUCAGGACCAAAAUGAACACAACCGUAUAAACAUGAAAUGAGCUGAUAAUUUAUGUGUUUCACUUAUUGUCUCGAUUUACUAUCAAAAGUGGUUAGUUCAAGACAAGAGUUCACUACCUACAAAGUAAAUCCGAUAAGUGUUUACUAGGAAAGGUUCAAGUCUAAAAGACACCUUAACCGAUGCAUAAUGAUUCUAUUUUCUCAGAUAUUGUGGAGCUUAUUUUCUAUUCAAAUGUGGGGUAUUUAUAUGUUUGAAUAAGAAAAUGUGGGGUAUUGUUGGUGUUUAUUUUAUAUAAACAUGUUUAUUUACAUAAACAUUUGUAUUUAUGUAAAUACCAUUCUACUUGUGCAAAUUUCAUCACGUCUCUUGGUUACGUUUAUACCGAUACACCGGUUGAGAGAAGAGAAGCAUCUCUUGGUUCAAGCAUCGCUUCAUUAAUAUAUAAGAGACGUAACGAUGUAGAGAGACGGGGACAGAGAGACAAGAGAGAAGAACAAUACAAGAGAAACAAAGGAGAGAAAGAUUGGGAUUGAUUCUCAUCUUCUUCUUCUCCAAAUCAAUUUCAGAGAAUCUCAAAGUAGAGUUUGCUAGGGUCUCUGUACGGUGUUAAAACAGAGAUCGAUAGUUGUAUCCUAAAGAUAGAAGCCUACACAAAGCUACGUACACCACAGUAGGGGCUAAAUUCUGUCUUAGGAGAUUGCCAAUUGCAAGCCUCUAUCAAUCUAUACGUUGUUCUUAUCAAGAAGAGAAGAGAUCGUAAAGUACGUUUCAGUUCUGUAACAAUUGUUUUUCUAUUUGUUACUUAUUAUAUAAAGUGAACGUAUUUGUUUAUGGGUAUUGAUCUGCAUCUAUAAUCUUCAAUCAACAAAGCCCAUGGCAGCUCUCACCAAUCCCCCAAGAACGAAAACUCCAUACGAACUGAAAAAGGGGCAAAACCGUCUCUUCCACAAGCUUCCCUCUGGUCUAAAAAUGGAGGUAAUCGAACAACGAAGAAGCAAAUCCGAAAGAGAGAAUCCACCAUUGGUGUUUGUACAUGGAAGCUAUCACGCAGCUUGGUGUUGGGCUGAACAUUGGUUACCUUUCUUCUCUUCUUCUGGGUUUGAUUCUUAUGCUGUUAGUUUACUAGGUCAGGUAAAUUCUCAAAUCAUCAAAGUUUUGAUUUUUAUGCUGAGUUUCGAUUUCCCCAAUAUCUAGUUAGACUUUCAAGAUCAUAAAGUUUCAAACUUUGGAUUGAAAUUGAGUGAUUUGUUAUCUUUAGGGUGAAAGUGAUGAACCUUUGGGAACAGUUGCUGGAACACUUCAGGUACUUGAAACUUGCAAUGUGCAUUGUGUAUAUUGGAUAAUUACUUGAUUCAGCAAGAUUCUUACUUGUUUGUGUACUUGAAACUUGCAAUGUGCAUGCAAGUGAUAUUGCGGAUUUUAUCGAAUCGAAUCUUGGUUCUUCACCUCCUGUUCUUAUUGGUCAUUCUUUUGGAGGACUCAUUGUUCAAUACUACUUGGCAUAUAUUGUAAACAAGCAGUCGUUAGGUAAGGUGUAAAUUCAUUGGAAUGAGUUGCGUUUUUCAGGAUCAGGUGUAAGAAUGCCUAUACGAUAACCGAUGAGUUUGUUGUUUCGAUUCCAGGAAUGGAAAAUGCGUUUCCAGAACUUUCAGGGGCUGUACUUGUUUGCUCGGUUCCACCUUCGGGUAAUACGUAAACUUCUCACAACCUAUUGGCUAUUUCCUAUAUCAGUGAACUUCUUCGUUUAGCUUAUAUAUAACUUCCGGGACUCUCUUUGUUGUUCAGCGGCUUAGUGUUACAUUAUCUCUUCUCUAAACAUGUGGCUGCUUUUAAGGUAAAACUCUUUUUCUGCCUUUGAUCUUGCAAGGAUGAUCUUGAUGUCAUGUUCUAUUUGUUCAGCAAUGUUUGUUUUUGGUUAUGUUCUUGAGUAGGUUACUCUUAGUUUAGCUGCUAAAGGUUUUCAGAAAUCUAUUCCUCUUUGUCGAGAAACAUUCUUCUCUCAAGCUAUGGAUGAUCAACUUGUGAAGCGGUACACCUUUAAUUUAGCUCAAUAGUCACCUUGAAUCUAAAAUAAAGUUUCAGUAAUCUAAAUAAAUUGUCUCUCUCUUUUCUUGAUUCAGUUACCAGGAUCUUAUGACAGAGAGUUCACGGAUGCCGUUGUUUGAUCUGAGGAAGCUAAACGCAUCACUUCCGGUACCAAAACCAAUGGAGAAUUCGACAAAAGUUCUUGUUUUAGGUGCCAAAGAUGACUUCAUAGUGGUAAGAACUAAGAACGCACUCUCCUUUGUCCUUUCUAACCAAACCAGAAAGUUUUUCAAUCGUGGUACUUGUAUUACACCGAAAUGGGUUAUGGUUUUGCAGGAUGAUGAGGGGCUGAAGGAAACUGGGUGGUUUUAUUGUGUCGAACCGGUUUGUAUUGAAGGUGUUGCUCAUGACAUGAUGCUAGAUUGUUCAUGGAAGAAAGGUGCUGAGGUUCUUUUAAGUUGGCUUUGUGGUUUGUUUAAACCGGGAAAUUUAUCUGCUUAAUAGCUGCUUCUCUUUUUAUUGUCACUACCUCCCCGUAUUUGUGUAGAUAGCUGCUUCUCUUUUUCUUUUUUUUUCAGGUAAAAGAAAGAAAAGUGAAGUGUUGAUUUAGUUUGUGGAUAUUAAAAAUAAAAGUGUGGGACAAAAACAAAAUUGCAAUUUUCAUUUUCAAGCCAUAAUUUCAGCUUCGAUUUGGAUUUCUCCAUUCCCGGAGGCGGUUCGUCGAAGAUGUCUUCAAUGUCGACAAAAUCAUCUCUACAGAAAUCAAAGAGAGACCAAAUUCAAAAACUGUAGUUCAGAUCACAAGAAACUGAGAAAGAUGAUAUUGUUUUACCUAAAUCAGAGAUGAAUCAUAUCGGCGAUGUUAAACCGGUUGUUGACUAGAAGAAAUUGGCGGCAACGAAGAUGAGAUAAAAAGUUGUCAAUAUAACUGACGAGUUAAACCGGUUGUUGACUAGAAGAAAUUGGCGGCAACGAAGAUGAGAUCAAAAGUUGUCAAUAUAACUUUACCUCGUCAGCUUCUUCGUCAUGGUGGCUUUGUUUUGCGGGUCCCAACCAAGUCUUGAGUUGCUUUUUCCAUCACAUUAAUGAACUUAGAGUUGGAGUACUCCACAUUCUUUUAUCACCGCUUCGUUACCCUCGAUGUCGAACGAAAAUAAAAGCUCGUUGGACGUCACAUCAGCUUCAGAUUCAAAGAUGAGCAAAUGCUCUCUUAAAAUGGGAGGCACGUGAAAGGGAUAUCGAUUAUGAUACUCCCAUGAAACAUAGAUGCCGAUUUUACCUUUCUCCCUGAUUCUCAGAAAUACAACUGUUUUUCUAGCGGCGGCUUCCUCCUUGUCAUUGUCAACUUUUUUAUCCAACAAGACGCAAGCCUUAAAUCUCAAGGUCGUAGAAAGAGGCCUUUGGUUCAAAUUUACCAUUAUGAUACUCCCAUUAGCUCGGUAAGUGAAGUUUGCGGGCACUUCUCUAGCGGGUAAGAGCGCAAAGGUACUAUUAGUCUGGAUGAAUUCUCUCGCUUCUUUAUUCAGCUUGAAGCAGUUAACAAGUGUGGCAGAUCUCUCUGGAUGAUUAUGAAAGGAGAAAUCAAGUCUCUCUAGUGACUCGCAGUUUUCUACAUAUAUUUGUGAUAAGGAAUCUGAAAGUUGUGGGAGUGUUACCAGCCUCUUGCAUCCCUCUAGUACAAGUGUCUGAAGACGAGAGAUUUUCUUAACCCACAGAGGAAUUUCUUGUAUUUUUACAUCGUUAAAGUAAAGCUUUGUGAUGAUAUCGAAAGCAUGUGGGAAUUCCUUGAGAUUGUCAUUGUAUGACAUUUCCAAUUUACGAAGAUGAGACCAUGACUUGAUCGUCGAAGGCACUUCUUUUACUGCAGUUUUCAUGAGGUAGAGACGCUUAAUGUUUGUGGAGAUCUCCGGAAAACUUUUGAUCAGUAAGCAAUCAGUGAGAUCAAGGUAAUCGAGAGAUUCCAAGUUGAUAUUAGUAGGAAGAGCCUCUAGAUUUAAGCAUCCUCGUAAACUCAACGCUUGCAAUUUCUGAAGGUUUCCAAGAGAGGAGGGGAGCUCCGCCAAACUUGAGCAUCCAAACAGAGUCAAUUUCUCAAGGUUAGUGGCAGUUGAGAGAUUAGGUAACUCUUUUAGGUGUUUCGACUCAGCCAAAUACAUCCUCUUGAGAUUUCCAAGGGGCUGCAGAAACAAAUAAAGACAACAUAAGGACACACAUUAAAAUUAAAUUCAAAUACUAACGAAGUCUCUUUUUAUUUUAACUGAAAAAUUAAAUUCUUCGUUCAUACAACUUAUACAUAGUUCCUCCCUUUCCACCAAUGAUACUAACCAUGGAGGGAUACUACAAUUUAAGCAAGCAUAAUAAAGACUACAAGAGAUAGCCUUCUAAGAAAUCAUACCGGAAGAUCACUCCUUUUUGACCCAAUAUUAUAAAAUUGGAGAGAAACACAACAAUUAUGUACCUGAUUUCCUUGCCACAAGUUCUGAAGUUUGCUGUUCCACAUAUCUAUAUGGACUAGAUACUUCGUACAAAAAUUGGAAGGCAAACAUUUCAUUUGAAAACAGCUCCAUUCUAGUAUUCUAAGUUUCUGAGGUAGAUUAUUUAAACCUUGCGGUAAGUACAAUUUAUUGUUUUCACCGUCAUAUAGGCCACGGAAUCUUAAGAAUUUAAGGUUAGACAAUCCUUCAAAAGCUCUCUCAUUGAUAUUUAAUUCGCCUGAUAGGUUUCUUACCUCCAAAAGUAUACCUAUAACAUUUCUACUAUCCUGUAAAAAGACCAUAAAAGAUAGAAACGAGAGAUAAUUAGCUAUUGAAUGAAUUUAAUUUGUAAACAACAAGGAAACAAGAGAAUAAUAAUAGAACUAACCGUGUUAUCAGUGAGUACUUCACGAAUAUCUCUAGCAUCAACCAAGAAUUGACGCUUCCCAGGCUCACGAAUGCAUUGGUGCCCAGGCUUAUGACGGACAAUGUCUCUACCUAAUUGCACUAAUAGAUUGUGCAUCUUUAUACGUGUAUAGUCAGCAGAAAGAAUCUUUAAUGCUAUGAGAGAUUUCUCAGCUAAGAGGUGAAGCCCUUGCCUCACAUCUAAGAAACUUGAAGCAAGAUAAUCUUCCACUCUCACCAUUUCUUCAUCGUUGAAAAGGCAGGCUAUAUGAAGGAAUAAAUCUUUAUCUUCAUCACAUAAGGCAUCGUAACUGAACUUUAAAAUGCUUUGAAUACUAGCAUCAAGGCGAAUCUUUAACCUUGGUAAUGCAUUUACCCACUCAUGCCUAGACAUUCCCCGGAAGUGGGAUCCCAUAACUCUUAGUCCCAAAGGUAGAUUACCUAAAAGUUUUGUAACUUGCCACGCAAGCUCCUCAAAACCAUCUUUAGGGAAGUUUUGGCCAAAAGCAUACAUACAAAAGAUCUGAUAAGCUUCAUAUGCUGAUGGAAAUUCCACCUUGUAAAUAUGGUUGAUGCCAUGUGCCUUCAAAAGCCGUUGGUCUUGUGUUGUGAUGAUAAUCCGACUUCCAUGACCGAACCACCGAGUUUCUUUUGCGAUAGCAUCUAGUUGUAUUGAUUGAUCAAUGCUAUCAAGAACAAUAAGCACCCUCUUGUCGUUCAACCUAUCUUGUGCAACUCCUAAAUGAGGAAGCUCCAUAUCCUUGUGGUUGAUUAUUUGGGACAAAAACUGUUGCUGUAACUGAAUCUUUGCACUAUACUCAUCAGAACACACUGGUCUUGUAUACAUCAAUUCCUUGAUAUUCUCCAUGAAGAUACUCAAUUCAAAAUUUUCAGAAAAUUGACUAUAUAAGACUCUGGCAAUGGUAGUCUUCCCUAUCCCAGACGGACCCCAAAUCCCAAUCAUCCUUACUUCAUCAGAGUCUAGGCAUAACAACGAUUCCAUUUCGUUCAUAUGAGCCCCCAUCCCAAUGAAACCGUCAAAAUCUCUUGACGGUGAGUAUCUAUUCAACAUGUUUGAAACAUCAGUGGCGAUUUUUUCAGUCAUGGCUGCUUCAUUAUCCCUAACAAAUCAAGUGACCAAUUUAUACAUCAAUUAAUAUUCAUAAAAAAUUCCACUUAUACAUCCAAAAAUUAUGUAUUGGUUGUCUUGAAAUUCUUUAAAAGCUACCAAUAAAUAUAGCUUUAUGUGUUAGUAAAAUAUAAAUCAUGGCAAGUAUAAAUCAAGAAAGCUAACCAGUUACAGGAAUGCUCCCCAGCGAUUGUUGCCACAGCCUCCAAAACGUUUUGCCAUCUCUUAAUGUCCUCUUUGGUUUUACCUUUACACGUUUUCUUGAAGACCUUCCCAAAAUCUCCUGUCUGCUUCUUUACGUCCGUUGGAUCAACGUCAUAGAAAAUGGUCAUCACUGUUUGACCCAAUUCUUCUCUACACUUCAUGAUUUCCACCAACUCGUUUAAACACCACGACGAAGAAGCGUAGUUCCUCGAGAGCAAGACGAUUGCGAUCUUUGAUCCUCUGAUAGCUUCUACGAGCUCAGGACCGAUAGACUUGCUCCUCUCGAUAUCAUUAUCAAUGAAUGGAACGAUUCCCUUUCCUUUGAACUCUUUUAGGAUGUGAGCAAGAAAUGUUUUUCGAACAUCUGCCCCGUGGAAGCUUGGGAAGACAUCGUGUUUCCGAUUUCGAGACAAAGAAGAUGGAGUAGAUGAAAGAGAUAAAGAAGAAGAAGAAGAAGAAGCUAUUGUUUUGUUUUCUUGAUGGGAUUUGACUUUUCUAUAAAACAUGAAGAAAGUUAUGGCAACAACACAAAAACUAGAGAGAAAAUCAGAAUCCAUCUGAGUAUGAUGAAGAGAAGAUUAAUAUCUCAAACUUGUCAGAAAGCAAUCUGUGAAGAAAUUGAAAGGGCUUUUUCGUUGGUUGAAUCUGGAAAAUGCUUUUAUUGAGAUAGGCACAAAGGAACCUUCAAAGAACAUUAUAUCCACUUGGAAUUAAUAAUAGAUUAACUGACUCAAACCAAACUCAAAUAUUCAAUAAUUUGUAUAUAAUGGAGGUAAAUUAAUACUCCUUCUGUUUCACAAAGAGUGUCAUUCUAUCAUUUUUCAUACAAAUUGAGAAAAAUAAACAAAUUUCUUUUCUACCCCUUAUUAAUAUACUAGAUAAUACCCUCUAUUUAAUUAAUAAACUGAAAAAAUAGGGAUAAAAAACAGAAUUAGUCUUAAAAACUGCAUAGAAAACAUAAAACGACACUCUUUGUGAAACAAGAUUAAAACCUUAAAACGACACUCUUUGUGAAACGGAGGGAGUAAUAACUUAAAGAUGUUAAGAGAUUUUGAUAAUUCCUAAAAAUUUGAGGUUCAUUUAUAUAAUACUAUUUAAUCUCUUGGAAGAAAAAAAAUUCAAUCCUGUUAAUUUUCUUGGAAAAAGAAUAAUGAAUGCUGAAGUUUGGAACGAAAGUGAUGCAGGGUUUAUAAUUUGUAAUCAUGUUUAUUUUCUUAGAAUAGGAUUUUAACGUUGAAAAUGGAGCGAUGAUCAAUGUUAGAACAAAAACAAAUUUUAACUUAGCCACAAUUCAAGCAAAGAUAAAUAAAAAAGUCAUUUAAAUUUUUUAUUACAACUUAUCGAAGUAAAGACAAAUGCUAAAUAGCGGUCAGUCUCAUUAAGGGGUAUCGAUUAGGUGUAAAACCUAAUUUUUUUAUUUAUAAAGUAGGUGUAGAAUAUAGAGAUUAUUUUUAUAAGUUUUUGGAUCCUCUGAUUUGUAUUAUUUUAUAAGUCAAGGUGAAUUCGAAGACCGAAGACAUUGAAAACUAAAUAUAGGGAUUACGAGGAAACGUAAUGGAGAGAGCGCAAUGGAAAGAGAAAUGGUGAGACAUCAACUCUAGCCACGAAACUCAUCAUUUGGAUAGACACUACAAGAAAUUUGGUCAUUGGUAGUACACUGAAAACGCUACUAUAUCGAUUUAGUAGCGUUUUCAUGAACGCUAUGACAGGAGGAGCUAUAAUAGCCUCACCCCAUAUGAUAGCAUUUUUCGGAAUGCUACGGAAGAUGAACCUAUUAUAGCGAUAGUCUUAUGCUAUAGGAUAGUUUUUUCUAGCACUUGUUUCGUGCUAUUAUGUACUCUUUCAUGGCUUUGUAUUAGUGCCAUGAAAUAUUUUAUUAUGACACAAUUAAAAUGUCGUUGUAAAUUGUUUUGUUACAGUUAUGGCUGCCAAAAUUGUGCACCUAUUCGAUUGCGAUAAUAAAUUCUGGGAUUUAUAAAAUCUAUUGUGAAACAAAAAAUCAUAAAAGACCAAUGUUUUUCCAUUUAAGAUCCAAAGCAUACAAAGUGUACAGAUUUAAAUCAUGAACUCUAAAAGGAACAUGUAAACAUACAUGAAACCAACUCAUAAACAAAACAUAAAGUCAUGUCUUAAACUGAUCAAGUUCUCAAACAUAGCCGGCUAAACUGAUCAAGUACUUACGGAUACUUGGUCUCUAAUGGGUCCCCAGUUCUUGAUUUCUGCAAAAUUAGAUGGGUUUUAAUGAGUUUUCGUAGAGCAUCAUUGUCAAUUCCCUAAGUAUAAGUAAUUUGUCCUCUUCAGGAACGUGAGUGGGAGUAAGAUUGACAAUGUUAACUCCAGUUAAUGAGUGCAGACAAAACUGGUGUCUAGAAAUCGGUAUGAACAAAUGAGUUUUGACUUAUUCAACAAAAAGCCUCACAAAAAUAAUAACAAAGGUUGCUAAACAAAAGACUCUUGACAGAUUCAAUAAAUGUCUCACAGUAAUAAGUAGCAAAGUGGUUAUAUUGUACCUUAAUAGCAAAAGCAAGAAAGUAUUGUGAGCAGUCAUGCCAAUCCAAAGCUAGGUAUUUGAAGCCACGAGUUGAAUCUGAAUCACCUUUGUAGGAGACUAGUUGAGCUGUAACGUUAAACAGAGAAACUUAAACAGGAAUAGAAGCAAAUGUUCAAGUAAAGUACGAGAGUAAAGAACAAGUACCAAAGAUGAUUUAAACAAGUCCAACGAGAGGAAGAAAGUGACUGCCAAUAACCAACCCAAGAAAAAAGAAUAGAGAAAUAGCCUACGUUAUGUAUAUCCAAAAACAAAGACUUUCUUCCUAUAUUGCUUUCCUCCUUCCUCCAAUGCUCCCUGACACACAUAUAACACAACAUAUAUUGGGAAUCAUAAACAUCACUCUACUUAACAUAAGAUAUAAUUUACUGCCAUACCUGCAGAGAUGAACCCAUCUCUUAUCCAGCAUUGUAUAUAUGUUCUAACCUUUAUUAAACCAAGAAGCAAUACAAUUCAAACACAUAAGCAAACAGAUAUAUAACACUAAGCAAACAGAAACGCAUAACAGUUUACAAACUAUGAAUUUCUUUUUCAGACUAACAUACCAAAUAAGAAAAGACAAACUUGAAUCUAAACACAAACACAUAUAUAAAACUAAGCUGACACAAACUAUCAAUUUCUUCUUCAGACAAACAUACCAACUAAGCAAAUACAAACUUGAAUCUAGACACAAACACAAAUAUAAAACUAAGCAAACACAAACACAUAAGCAAAGAAACAGAAUCUCAAACACAAGCUCGAAUCUAAGCAAUUCAUUUUCGUUUUCAAUUUCAUUAUCAGCAAUCCAUAUUAUCCCAAAGUUUUAAACCCUAAUUCUCAAUUAGAAACACAAUCUCAAAUUAAUAAUAUAGUUUUGAACCCUAAUUCUCAAUUAGAAACAAAAUCGAAAAUUACUUACAGCUUCGUUACUUACAGAAUCUGAAAUCUCUUCCUUCUCUUCCUUUCAGCUUCGUCUCCUUCCUUGAUAAAGAGCUUCAAACCUCGCAAUAAGCUACAGACCUUGAAAGCUCACAAUAAGAGAAUUUAAUUAGGGUUAAGGAGACUGAAAAUAGGAGCAGCUUGAAUGAGAAAUCAAAUCGGAUGGAAGACUAACCCAGUCGAGAAAACAGAAAGAACAACAGAGAAGACGAGAAGUCUGGCGAACGAGAAACAGUCGGAGCAGAAUAUAUAAUAGAGCUACGGAGAGGACGAGAAGUCGAGAGAAACCCAGCUCCGACUCAGAUCUAGGUCGAGACACCGAGCCCAGAUUGAGGCGUCGAAGGUUGAUAAAUGACUGGAAAUCGAGUGAAUCGAGGCGACGAAGGUUGAGGAAUGACCGGAAUUGGGUUUUCUGGUGACCGGAAACCGGAUUCGUGGUGUCAGCGAAGGUUUAGAUUUUCAGAAAAAAAUGACCUAAGUGUUUGCUUUUGUGAGAGUCGCGGAAAAACAAAGUUUUGGCUAAGUGUUUUGCCUCUAAAAUGAUUUUCUCUGCUACAGUAGUGAUUUUUGGGUUCCCGCUUAAUGAAAUUCUUUCCCAGCGCUAACUUAAUACUACAAUAUAGUUGCCAUCCGAUUUUGUCACUUUUAGUAGCAGUUAAUGAAUUAGUGCUACAAUGAUAUGCUGCCAAUGACCAAAUUUCUUGUAGUGAGACAAACAAAUUCGAAACCAAUUGUCAGUGAUUCGGACUACGGACGGCCAGAGACAUUUGCAGUUGAUGUAACAAACGUUAUUUUUUCAUGAAUAUAAUUUAACUGCAACUUCUAGAAGUUUUUUUUUUUCAGUUCUCAAUUUUAUUACCUUCUCAAAUUAUUCAGAAACAUUUGCAGUACAUGUAACAAACGUUAUUUUUUCGUGAAUAUAAUUUAACAUUAUAUUCAAAGGAAAAAAAAAAAACAGGGAAAGGAAGGAUCCAAUUUGUAAGAAAGUCCCGCAAGUUAAUUUACCAGUCCAUUUGAGAAAUUAUCCUCAAAUUAUAAUUUAACAUUUUUUUUUUUUUGAGAAAUUAUCUUACUUAUUACUUAUUAGUGUAGUAUUUCGUGAAGUAUCUGCAAUACGUUUCAUGCUGAUUUUGAAAAUACGUUAUUUCAGAUAUUCGAGUGAAAGUUUGCUCUACUUUAAAUAGUUUCUAGUUAUUAUGAAGAAUGAAUAUUUCAUACAUUAGUUGAGGAUUGGGGUUGCUUGUAACCCAAGAAACUAUUUCUGACCUUAUUUUCUUCAACGAUUCUGAGUUUGUUAAGAUGCAGCCAACAACUCAACCAUGAUGAUGAGAGAAUCUCAAAGCCAAGAAUAAACUCAAGAAAAUUGCUGUAAAAUUGAUAUCGCUGAAAUGGCAAUGAUUAGACAAGAACAAAUUAACGUUUUCAUCAGAUCUAAUCGGAACUCUUUUCAAAUAUUUGGACUAGCUAUGAACAUCUUUGUCAAAUGUUAAUUAUGCUGCUGCAGAAGAAAGGAUAUUUGGCUAUCAUCCCAAAUGCAAAGAAUCGCGAUGCCUGGAACCGUACCUGCUGUCUCAAACUCCUUUGGAUGCUCUUCUUUCGUUCAGAAUCAGUGUGGGUACUUCUGCACCUCACAACAUUCACCCUCUUCGACUCUGUAGAUUCUUCAGCUUGGAUAAUCGAAGGAGUAAAGCAUACAAACUACUGUGCUGGUCAAAUCUACGACAUCAUAAGAGAAAGAAAACAUUCAGUUAGCUGGAGUAACAUUGUAUGGUUUGAUCGAGGAAUCUUGCAGCACAAAAGCGUUACAUGGAUGUUAUAAACUGCUUUAUGUGCAACAAACUUCCACAAUCUAGGGAUAAAAGUUUAGUAAAAGUUUUGAUUACUGUGGAAAAAACUUUACCUCCUCUCCUUCUCCGUCUUUGAACGGUAGUUGUCAAGAAAACCGCAUUGAUGAAGCGCCGUGCCAUGGAUAUUAUAGAGGAAAUGGAGGCAGGAUUAAGGUGAUUGGAAGAAACAAGAACAAUAGGAGAUCAUUGUUUUGUUCUUCUCUGAAGUUCUCAACCAAUUACGCCCCAACUAGCUAGUCUUGAGUUAUUUUCUCUCCAAAAAAUGGAACGGCUUAGAGUUGGAGUACUCCACAUUCUUUUAUCACCACUUCGUAACAAUUGACUACGAACUCAAAGAAAUACUCGCUGGACGUCACAUCCACUUCAAGUUCAAAGGUAAGCAAAUGCUCCGCUAUAAUGGGAGGCACACCGAAGCCGUGUGCAGAUCUCCAUUACCAAUGUCGGCGCCGCAGUAUCUAAGUAAGACAAAGUAAAAUUUGUAUGUGAUUAGUUAGAAAACAACAAAAUUUAUGAUAAAACAUUAUUAAUGGAUAAUAUAUCUUUAAAUUAGACUAUCUGCUUUUAACAUUAUUAAUGGAUAAUAUAUAUUAAUGGAUAAUAUACAAAAUUGACAUUUUUAUAGUUUAUUUGUCUAGUUUAUAUAAACUGUCUUCUUAUAAUUUUAGACUAUCUGCUUUUAACUUUUUCAAUUUUAAUUGUCACUCAUUAAAUUGUGUUUUAUUAUUGAAUUUCACUCUUUGUACUUCAAAAAAAUUAAUUAAAAUUCACAUUUCUUUACUAGGAAAAGUAAAAAAUGUGGAAUACAAAGGAAAAAAAUAUUUUGGUAAAAUGAGAGAGACAAACACAAUAAUAGCUUAUAAAAAGCCUUAGAAAUCACACAAUCAUGCAUUCACAUCAAAAUUCCAUCGACUGCUUAAACCAAACUCUAUUGUUUUCAUUCUCCUUUAGAAAUAAAGAACUAUACAACCAAGGAUGUAUAUACUUUUCUCCAAUUGUUGGUUGAAUAUUUUUUUCAAAUUAAUUUCAUAUAGAUUUCACUGAUCUAUUGAAAUUCCUGGGCAAUUCUUGUUAGGGGUGACCAAUACGUGCUAUUGUACACAAGGCCAAAGCUAUAUGAAGGGGGUCAAGUGACCCCUAUAAAUUUUAUAAAAAAUUAUUUGCAAGGCUUAAUUAAUGGUAUUUGGUUGAUAAUUUUGUUUGAAAUAUUUGACCCUUUUGUAAUUAAGUUUCGUAAAAAAAAAUUUACAACAAGAAGAAUACCACACAGAAACUAACCAGGUAAUCUUGUGAUGUACAUUUGUUUCGAUCACCCACUUUUAGAGAAAUCUCCAACUAGUUUUUUUAAGGUUUACGAUGAAGCUAGUGAUGUACAUUUGUUUGUGUUGUUUAGCGCUUUUGUAUUUGUUGAUUACUAUGACUGAAGUGAUACUUAUUCGGUCUUAACUUUUAGUCUGAAUCGAAUUUUAAGUUUUGUUUUAGCUGAAACAUAAAACUUUAUUGGAACCUUUUUUUUUGUUUUUUUUUUUGUUACAAUGAAUGCCGUGAGUUAGUGCUGAAUGCUAACUCCAAUGAUCUCGUUGGUGAGACGAUCGAAUACUCACAAUUUUUGGAGUUUAGUGAAUCGAUCGUUCACUUAUAUCGACUAACCAUUGAUCAUCUGUCAUCUAACUAUGUUACAUUUUGUGUAUGAAAUUUAUUAACUUGAUUAAAGAUUGUUUUUGAUCAAUGUUGAAAUCUUUAAGCAGGAUAAAUGUCGAAGGAAAAUCAGAUGAUCCCUGAGUCAAGCAAUAGGACUAGAGUAUCGCCAUACCCACUUCGCUCUUCAAGGACAAAGAAAUACAAAGCACAUGAGUCAUUUAUCCAAUCAGAAUGGGAGGAUGUGCGGUGUGUGAUUUGCAUGGAACCGCGUCAUAAUGUUGUUUUUUUUAGAUGUUCUUCCUCCCUUAAUGGAUGUCGUCCUUAUAUGUGCGACACAAGUGCUCGUCACUCCAACUGUUUCAAGCAGUUCCGCAAAAAAAAAACAAGAAAAAACGCUCAAGUAACAAGACCUUAAACUGCCCUCUAUGCAGAGGAGAAGUCUUUGAGACAACAAAAGGGACAAGUACUGCAAGUAGAUUCAUGAAUGCUAAACCGAGAUCUUGUCCUAUCGAUGAUUGCAAUUUCUCCGGGACUUAUUCUCAACUUGAUAAACAUUUGAAAAAGAGCAUCGCUGUCUCAUCCCCCCCAAAGGUCGAUCCACAAAGGCAAUGUAGGUGGGAACAAAAUGGAGAGACAUGUGGAAUACGUUGACCUCAUGAGUGCAGCUGAGAUUCCGCAUAUCCAUGAGGUUGUACAUCAUCAACUUCCUUACACUCAUCAUCUUCCCGUGUUUCGGUUGAACAUUGUUAAUGGAACCGUGCGAAAUAUUAUUCGUCCGGUUCAUGUAAGGAACUGAUUUGGUGCCACCAACUACAUUGUAGGUAACAUGCCUAGACUGCAUUUUUGACCGAUGAGCGCGGCUAGAUUCCUUGAAGAAAUCUAACAAGCUUACAUUGCUUACCGAGAACCAAAUAUAUAUAUUAUGAUUUUGUUCGAAGCUUAAUGUCUCAAAAUAUAUAUUUUAGUUAAUUUGGAUCCAUAAUAUUUAAAAUUCAAUAUUUAGGUUACUAUAUAGCGAAUUUCUAAGCUCAUAUCUAUUACCUUCCAAAGUUUUGUUUAAUCCUAUACUAUUAUUUGGGGAGUACACUUCUUUAUAAGAUACCCUUAACUAACCUUUCCUUUUGUAAAAAAUUACCUAAAAAUGCCAUUAGAGAUAAAAUUUCAAAGAGUAAAUUAAUUCAUCUUAUUAAGGAUAAACAAGUCAAUUUAUAUAAUUUAAUUAAUUUAAUUUAAUUAUAAAAACGAAAAACACAUAAUUAUUAUUAUUUUUAAAUGACCAAUCAAAAUGAAUAUAUAAGAUUUGAUAUCUAACUUACCUUAUUAAUUUGUUAUUAAUCAUUAUAUUUCACCUCUCAUCUUUAUAUGAUUCUAUUAUUGUGAAACAAAUAAAUCAUCAUAUCAUCCAUAUAAUAAUAAAAAAUAGAUUUUUUUCCGCAUAUGCCAUAAUUUGAAUUUUUUAAAACGAAUAUAAAUUAUUCAAUUUAUGUAAAAAAAAAAUUAACGAGUCAAAAAUUUAGACUUGGAUAAUAUAUUUCUUUUAAACAAAAAUAAAUUCAAAACAAAUUCCGCCUGAAUAACGGGUCAGAAUUUGAGUUAUUAUAUUCAAUUUCAUAUAUUUUUUUAAAAAUAUAUAAUUUUAUAUACUACGAUACAAUUUUAAAUAUUUUAAUUUAGAAUAUUUAAAAAUAGUUUUACUUGAUAUUCUGUUAAUUUCUGUUAACUUUUCUAAUUUAUCAAUCAAAAUAUUAAUAUUGAAAUUAUAAAUUUAUUUUCAAAUAAUAAUAAAUUCUUGAAAAUUUCCAAAAAAAAAAACUGAAAACUCUCUUAAAUUAAAUAUUAAAAUUCAGUUUCAUACGAAUUUUUUAGUUAUUUUUAAUUAUUUUUUAUAAAAUUAAGUAGUUUGGAGUAAGAAUUAUGAAAAACAUAUCUUUUGGACUUUCGAAUUUUUCAAGAAUUUAUUAAGGAAUUUUAGAGAGUUUUCAAAAUAAUUUGAAAAAUGAUAUAGAUUCUAAAUAAUUCGGUUGGUUCGAAUCAAUAUGGAAUUCAAGAAUACAGUAAAACUUCUGAUAGUUCUUGAGAGCUCUCCUCUUCGGAACAGCUCGACCUUCACGCCAAUGGCGUCUUCUUCUCUUACUUCAUUCCCAUGCCUAUCCUCGCUGACGAUUAAGCCCAUGGCAGCUCUCACCAAUCCCCCAAGAACGAAAACUCCAUACGAACUGAAAAAGGGGCAAAACCGUCUCUUCCACAAGCUUCCCUCUGGUCUAAAAAUGGAGGUAAUCGAACAACGAAGAAGCAAAUCCGAAAGAGAGAAUCCACCAUUGGUGUUUGUACAUGGAAGCUAUCACGCAGCUUGGUGUUGGGCUGAACAUUGGUUACCUUUCUUCUCUUCUUCUGGGUUUGAUUCUUAUGCUGUUAGUUUAUUAGGUCAGGUAAAUUCUCAAAUCAUCAAAGUUUUGAUUUUUAUGCUGAGUUUCGAUUUCCCCAAUAUCUAGUUAGACUUUCAAGAACAUAAAGUUUCAAACUUUGGAUUGAAAUUGAGUGAUUUGUUAUCUUUAGGGUGAAAGUGAUGAACCUUUGGGAACAGUUGCUGGAACACUUCAGGUAUUUGAAACUUGCAAUGUGCAUUUUCUUUAUUGGAUAGUUACUUGAUUCAGCAAGAUUUGUGUUUGUGUAGUAGACGCACGCAAGUGAUAUUGCGGAUUUCAUUGAAUCGAAUCUUGGUUCUUCACCUCCUGUGCUUAUUGGUCAUUCUUUUGGAGGACUCAUUGUUCAAUAUUACUUGGCAAAUAUUGUAAACAAGCAGACGUUAGGUAAGGUGUAUAUUCAUUGAAAUGAGUUUCGUUUUCUGGAUCAGGUGUAAGAAUGCCUAUACGAUAACCGAUGAGUUUGU